AAAAAAAAAAAAAAAAAAAAGUAAAAACCGAGCAAGUUAUCCAAUUUUUAUCACAAUAUUUAGAUUGCUUAAAAUCGAUAAAGUAUUUAUUGUUUUCAUACACUAAGCGCACGGAUUCUCCAAAGCCAAUUUCAACAGCUAUCUCAAAGGGUAAUUGGAGUCAAUUUUCGCCCAUUGGUUGCUUCCCAUGCAUUACGACAGAAAAAAGGACAGGAAAAAAAAAAGAGCCCAUUUGAACAGGCUGGAUCAGCUGAAGAUUUAUAGGAAGUCAGUCUUCUUUGUAACGUAUACGACCCUCCGGAAGCUACCAGGGUGGAGCAGAAAACUCUACCACGCUGGCUCGCUCUCCAAUCCUGCCGAAGUUGAGACAUCAGUCUCUGUACAGUUGUAAGUGCGACAUUGUAAACUCUGAUAAUUUAUUUUACGGUAUAACAAAUAAUAGGAAAUGCGAGGUAUAUCUGAAUCGAGUAGACUCUUAUUUUUUAUAUAAUUUUUGAAUUGGUGGCCCUUGUUGGAAUGACGCGCCCGAAAGGGAGCUUGUUUGUUUGACCGGUGCAACGUGGUUGUUUUAGUUGAUGCAGCCAUGCAGGAGUGGUGAUAAACCACGUCUCUGAUGCACGAGGUCAAAUUGGUUCCAACCGAUCAAAUCUGAUCCAAUCGGGUUUGACUCGUUGGCAUUUUCUUCGCGUCCGAGCCAAGAUCCAUUAUACAACGAUUUACCAGUUUUAGCCGUUUCGAAAUUUAGAAGCCAAUUUCUUUUAUAAUUGUAAGAAUUUAAUGAAAUUAAAAAAGAUAAGAGGAUUCGUGCAAUCUUCUUAGUCAGGAUAGGGUCUGAGCCCACAUCCAGUCCAUUAUCAGGCCCUAACUAGCUAGGACCAGUUUGGGUCUCAAUCUCAUGCAAAUCUCAGGUUCUGACCAGGAUCAGUAACAUCUACAAUGUUCAUCAUAGCUUAUUUGGGAAACUACAUUUGCAUUAGUUGUUUUUUCUUAAGACAACCAAAAGAGAUACUUCAUCAAAGCAAAAACUCGUUACAUGGGCAAGUAAUUAACUUAGAUUCUACUUACAACAAGCAACAAAUUAACUGCGAUGCAAAUAAUUAAUAACAAGUUAAAAUAGAAAGCUCACAUUAAGCUCAUAAAUCAAUGAGAUUAGAGCGCGUCAUUUAGAGAUUUUCCAGCUCAUGACUAUCGACGCAAGGAGAAUCCUGACUCUGCAGGCGUCGCAGCUUGAAUGAUGAUAGCUUUUGAGCCGACGGGCAGGGCGAUUGCCCGGUCUCGCGUAUAAAAGCAUAAGCCCAUGCACCCAACAAUGUGCCAAACACCGGGCCCACCAAAUACACCCAAAGGCCGUCGUAGAUCUUGCUCGCGACCGCCGGACCUAGCGUCCUCGCCGGGUUCAUCGAUCCCCCCGAUACCGGCCUGCACGACUCGAUCGCACUUGAUUGAUAUAAUAAGAUAUGUAAACCCAUAUAUAUGUAUAUAUAUAUACUCAGAUUUAAUGUGUAACCAUUUCAGUUCUCGUUUAAAAAGGUUUUUGGGGGCAAAAUUCAUGUUUAUGAUUGCAUAAAAUUAGUUUUUUUUUUUUCUCUUAAAGAAAAAGGAUAUAAUUUUUAUAGAACAAAUUGAAGUUGGUUAUUUUGAUUUAAUUUCUACCCUGCAAAAAUAGAGGUUAUGCAAACUGCGGAGCCAACUGCCAACCCUGCCAACUCUCCCACCUGCAUGCAUGUCAAGCAAAGAAGCGUUCAAAAGUCCAUAGACAAAGUGCAUUGAAAGGUCAGAGAUCAGACCAAACCAUAAUUAUUAGUAUUAUCAUAUUAUAUUAUAGCACAUUAACAGUUGAAAAAGUUUCUUGAUGGAUGGGAAAUUAAAGCAUAAAUCAAACAAUAAUUAAUAUUUACUGCUUUGGUGUCGGUCGCGACGGCGGAUGUAACGAACAUCAUGUUGAAGGUGACAACCACCUCAGUCACCAAGGCUUGCCACACCGUCCCCGACGGGGUUGUCGUCCCCAGAUUCGCGAUCGGGUGGAGCAGCUCUCGCAGGACAAAACCCGCGAUCACGGCGCCUGAGACCUGAGCCGACCAGUAGAACGGCACCUGCACCAAAAGGCAAAAAUCAUUUUCGUAAGUUUAGAUAUAUCUUAGUUGAAACAGUCAUGCUCAUUUUGUAUUGCUUGAUUACUUUAAAGGAAUUGAUAGUUUUGAUCGAUUCAAUUAUUUGGUUAAAAAUACUUAAAUUGUAUAGGUUGGUAAUUAAAUAUUACUUGUUAAUUACGCAGCACAAAUUAAUAAAGAUGUUGCAACACAAGUUGCUCUCGCUCAUUAAUAUCUUGUAUUAAUGACCUGCUGGGACAUUCCACCGAUCAUUGCUUACACGUACGUAGUUUGAUACGUUGAACUCAUCCCUUCACAAUUGAUGAUAUUGAUGUCUCAGUAGAAUGUAGGAGCCACAUGCAACUACUGUCUUAAUUCUUUAUUUUUUCUAACCCUUACACAUUUUUAGUUAAAAAUAGUAAGCUAAAUUCAUGUUUUUUUUCAUGCAAUAGAUUUAGAUGUAAUUAAAAUAAUAUCAUGUAUAUUGCAUGGAAAUAUAUUUUGGAACAAAGAGUUUGGUUAUAGUAGUCACAAGCGACAAGACUGUAGUACUGUUAUAAUUACUGUACAGAAUACUUAGUUAUUAUCAGAUGACUUAUAUAUCCUUAAUUAAGCACAGGAGUUUAAAUUUGUGAUAGCUAAUUAAGUCUCAAGAAAUUAAAAAGGGUUUGAACACCGAGUUUUUUGAAUAUAUAUAGUCUCCGUUCUAGAGGGAGUUUUAGCUUGGGGUAAAGUGCCUAACUAUGAACAACGUCCAAAAAAAAGAAAAAGGAAAAAAAAGAAAAAUAUCAAAAAUAGUUUUUUUCUCGCAAAUUAGCUUGGAAGUCAUGGAGGCAUAUAUAUAUAUAUAUAUAGAGUGAGGCUACUAUGCUAUCGGAAGCACGGAGCCUUCCGUGCUUCCAGCUCGUUUUCGAUGUUGCGACUUUCGAAUCGUCGAUCGGCUCCAUUAAACUUGAUCUAGAGUAUUUGAAGUAUCUAGAAAAUAAAUUUUAUGAUUUUACGGUAUCAUUUGCCUAGUAAACGAAGGGGCUCAAAAUCAACGGCUGAAAAUAAAAAUCUUACAAAAUGUAAUAAUAUGACAUUAAAAUUUUAAAUCAAAGAUAUUGAUCUUGUUUUAUAUAGUAUAAAAAAUUUUCUAUCAAAAUUUCAUGUGAUUUGGAUAUUUCUACACCGUUAAAUUUGCAAACGGCUCACUACGGCCAUUGAAAUUUGUUGAUUUUGAGCCCAUUCGAUCACUAGGCAAAUGAUAUCGAAAAAUAAUAAAAUUUAUUUUCUAGGUACUCAAAAUACUCUAGAUCAAAUUUAACGGAGCCGAUCGAUGAUUCGAAAGUCGCAACAUCAAAAACGAGCUGGAAGCACGGAAGGCUCCAUACUUCCGAUAGCAUAGUAGCCUCACUAUAUAUAUAUAUAUAUAUAUAGUUCUGCUGAGGUACUAUCAAUAGCACUAAGAAUUUGAUACUAUCGAGUUUUCUACCGUUAAAUUUAACACUAUGAUUAUUUUUGCCCCUUAAAUUAUACUAUUUAAAUAACCACUCACUCAAUCCUAGAAAGUAUAUGGUAAUUACUGGGAAGUAUAUGGUACAAGCUCAUGUGAAUGCACUUAUUAUGGAAUCUGUAUGAUUAAACUGGUCCCCUUAUAUAUAUAUAUAUAUGUAUCCACGUUCAGAGGUACGUGGACCACCCAUAAAUAUUUGAGCGUAUACAUCUUAAAUGUUUCUUUGCAUUAUUUCCAAUUCCAAGUAUCUUAAUUUCCUCAUUUCAAAAAGUUAAACAAACCAUUCAAGAUUACAUGCUAAAUUAGCUUCACGACUCAAAGAUUUAUACGAUGAACUCAUGAUCAUAGUUUAGCAUAAGUAAUUAAAUCAUCGAAUUAUAACAAAAUUUGAACGUAGCAUUUGUUUAUUUUCCUCACGAAUGUUACGUGCUUAGAAUUGAAAAUUGAACAAACCUGAAUCCAAGGAAAAUGGUGGGACACGGCGAAGGCGAGGGUGACAGCGGGGUUCAUGUGCGCACCGGAGAUGUGGCCAACCGCAUAAAUCAUCACGGUGACGAUCAGCCCACCCGCAACCGACGCCCCCAGCUGCGAGACGCGGGUGAGGUCGCUCUUGCUCAGCGCUGCGGCUCCGGCCGUCGCGAACACCAGCAAAAAUGUCGCUAUCGUCUCCGCCACCACCUGCAACUCCAUCAGUGUACGACUAUAUAUGUAAGAGACGUUCAGUUAAUCACGUAUCAAUCACACGUAGAUAGUGUUUUUUUUGUCCUCAUACAUAGAUUGUUUUUCAUCUUUCCAUAUGUGUGCAUAGUUAAUUCACUGCACUUUUUGAUGCACUUUCGCUAGCUACUUCAUAAAACUACGUUGUUGAAAAGCAAUUAGAAACAACUCUUACUGUUUUUAAAUAGCACUGCUAAAAUAGCACUUUUGUAGUAGAUCCAACUAAACAUUCGGGCAAAGUUGACGAGAGAAACAAAUUAAUUAAGAUUCUAAAGCCUUGAGAUUAGGAAAUAAUUAAUCUCUCUCGCUUAAUGACAACAAGAACAUUAAUGCGACUCAUUUAGGGGCAUGUACAACACCUUUCUAAUAAGGCAAGGAGGGAAAAGCUCUUCAAAAGAUGUCUCUCCAUGGAGAACUCUUUGGGGGAGGGAGGAGCUUCGGGCUAUUUCCUUGUCAUGGAUUUCAUGGGAGAAGCUUAUGACUGUGUUGGAGCCCAUCUCUAGCUAAAGAAGCUAAGCACUCGGCUCAAUUUUGGGUUGUGUUUGUCCCUCUAUAGCAAGAGUGCUCUACUUAUAUAGAGUGUUGCUAAUGAUAAUCCAGUGGUGGGAAUAUGGAAUCUAUUUAGCAACGAAUAGGUUCUUUUCCAACUCGCUACAAUAGAAUUUGCUGAUAGAAAUAUAUUUUUUGAACACUUUUGUAUAAGUAUCUCAUUGAUGUCAAAUUUUUUUUAAAAAAAUUUAUUAAGAUCUAAAUAUAAAUCCCGAUCCAAUCAAAAAUAAAAAAUUUCUCUACUCAACCAACCCCGCUCAACCCGCUCAGCUCAAUUACAAAUAGAAAAAAAAAAAAAGAAAAAAUUAAUCAUCAUCUCCCCUUCUCCUCCUCCGCCGUCAUACCCGACGAGACAGGGUUCCGAUGACUGGAGUUCGGCUGCGAGGAUCUCGCAGGGAUCGUAAAGGGCUACAAUUGCAACGUGUCCCUUCACCACGCGUCACUAGAGGAGUGGGUGUCAAACAUCAAAACGGCCCUACAUAUAGCGACCCCACGUAUAGCAACACUUUUAAAAGGUGUCAGUGAUUUAGACAACAAUACUUUUUUGACCUAUACUGACAUUUAAAAGUGUCGCUAUAUAUCGUUUUUAUUGUAGUGACUCUCUCUCUCUCUCAAGACCAGUAUAACAACAGCCAUAUAUUCCCAUCUUUAGGGUGUCUCAUAUUAAGAGAAAUUCAUGAUUGAUACACUAAAAUUGAUCACAAUAAUGGCCGAGAAAAUAGGACUUUUCUAUGAGAGCAACACUACUGCAUUACACCCAAAAAAUACGCGUCCGAUAUAUCUAUCCAAGAUUCUGUAUCUUCACACUAUUUUUUUAAUGUAUUGUUUUUAAUAUUAAAAAUGCAAAAAGAAGUAUCUAAACCCUUAAAUUAAUGGGUAGGUGUAAAAUUUAUACUCUAUUUUUAGACAUAUAAGUAGCAUUUCUCUUUCUACAAUUGGUAUUCCACAAGUUUUGUCCCACUAAUCUAAUUAAGCCAUGCGGAAUUGUAGAUAUAUAUCUGAUAUUUAAGGAUAAUUAACUAAUAUAUGGUUGAGUUUUAGUAUUCAUGCAUGAAUUUUAUGGUAUAUGGAAGAUUUUCUCCAUGCAUGCCACACAUCUUUAUUUUUCCGAGAGUUAUAGUCUUUUUUUUUUGUUUAAAACUUAAAUAAUUGGAUUAGAAGUAGUAUAAGACUAUAUCAUUCAACUCCAGCAAUUUGGCAAACUAAGAUUUAAUAAUAUUUCUGCAGCAGUAAAAAAUAGAAAUGAGAUUCUCAAUCCAAAGAUCAAAAGAAUCAAAUAAGGUUGGAUUUCUACUUCGACUCUACUACUAAGAAAUUUAAUUUGUCCAGAGAUAUCGAUCAAAUAAGAUUUAUCAAACAACGUUACUCCGUAAUUGUGGCAAGCCAAAAUAGAUCCUUAUGCAGACAAAAAUUAUAGCAGUUAGAAGCUCCGUCUAGGCCAUAUAGGCCCUCAGCAAUAUAGAACUUAGGCAAAAAAAAAAAAAAAAAGAAAAAAAAAAAGAAAAAAGAGAGAAGAAGAAGAAGAAGAAGAAGAAGAAGAAGAAGAAUGAAGUAACAAGUGUUAAAUGUCCACUAUUUUUUGGGGGGCGAAUAAUACACAGUGAUCUUGGUCUGGGAUAGGUAGAUGACGAAGAUUGGAACGCAGUCAUCGAGUACUAUGUUAUCCGGAUUGGUAGCUUGCUGGUCGAUAAUUUAAUUUAGGAAGUCAGGAACAACGUGAUCUUAGAAAGACCCAACCGGACCCCUUCCUUACAACUUACAAGAUUAAGCAGCUGACGAAUCUUUGAGAGCAAUUUCUAUCAGUUAAUCGGCGACACACUUGUAGUCGGUAGGUUUUUUUUUUUUUUUUCACCCCACUACAACAAAAACGGUUUAUAGCGAUACUUUUAAAUGUAGGUACAUGUCAAAAAAGUGCUGCUAGCUAAAAUUACGGACACUUUUAAAAAGUGUUGCUAUAUGUGUGGUCGCUAGAUAUAUAGUGACAGUUAAAGAGUGUCGCUAUAACCUAAAAGAGUGCGACUAAUUUACCAACACUUAUUUAAGCAUUUAGUAACCGUCGAAACUCUAUCUCGUUGGUUGCGGUGGCGGAGGAGGACGACAGGAAAGGCUCUUCGUCUAGAAUUUCAGUAGAUUGAAUGAAGAGAGAAGAAAAUAUGGUAAUUGAAUUUUUUUUUUCUUUUCUAUUUGUAAUCGGGCCAAAUGGACUGGGUGUGGUGGGUUGAGUAGAGUAAUCUUUUAUUUCUGGUUGGAUUGGACUUUAUAUUUAGGCAUUAAUAGAUGUUUUUGUAAGUUUUAGUAUAAAUGGGACACUUACUCAAAAGUGUCCCAAACAUGUGUCCCUAUAACCUAAUUCUGUUGUAGUGCCCCCUCUGAGGCCUGCGUUGCUUCAUUCAUAUUGUAACUUAAUUUAUUUUUUCAAUAAAUGAAACGGGUAGCAUAUCAUCUAUUUUUUUUAAAAAAAAAAGAAAUAACACACCGUAAGGUUAAUAUAGAAAAUUUGUCUUCUAAUAGGUCUCCUGUACAUGUCUAACUUUAAACGUAAAGAGGCUUUUCAUUGAACUUCUUGUACAUCAAUUAAAAUAAAAAUUAGUAUAAAUAUAUAAAGAUUGUGAGCCUAAUUAUUAUUACCAUCCGUUACAAACUGGGAAGUUAAGGAUUGAACCAAAAAAAAAAACAUUAUGAUGCUUUUUUUUUUUUUCGAACACUGAUUAAUUAUCUCAUUACAGAAGCCGGGUCUAACAAGCACUAAAAAGUAGCAUAAUUUAUCGAGAAUGGAUCGAGGUUAGCGUGGAGGAGGAGACACCAGCAUGUUCCACAUGCACCAAUUCCCUAAUCUUUUUUAAAAGCCAAAUUAUUGGAGCAUCUCCUAUUCAUUUCAUCUUCACAAGUUCUAAAGAUGAUCGAUCCCUUCUCAUCUUCUCCAAUUAAUCCCCUCGCAUGUGGAGAGAUUCCGAGUUUGAAGUGCACUAUUCAUGAUAAUUAGGACCAGCUUUGUAUGGAUUGGGGCCACCACGUCAACUAACAUCUUAUACUUUUUCUAAAAGAAAACAAAGAAAAAGCUUCUUAGUAGCCCAGGGGCUACCUUUUUUUUAGUAAAAAGUUUUUUUUUUUUUAGAGACAUGUAGCAUGCUACCCGUUUUGUAGCUGAAAAUGUGAAUCAACUAGAAUUCGAACUUGAGUCUUGGAUACCAACCACCAAAUCUUGUGCCACUUACUUUAGGGACGAUCGGUAAAAGAUUAAAAAUUUUAAUCUACUUCAUUCGUAUUAAUAACCAGUCAAGUAUCCAAAGGCCGAAAAAAAAAAAAAAAAAACUGUCAUAAGAAUAAUCGACAUGGAAUAAUUAAUAAAUUAGCCAAAUGAACAAUCCGUUUCUUAUGAAAUGGUAAAAAAUUUGAUGAUUGUUAUAUGAGGUUUUAAGUUCAAGUUUAAUUGUUUCACAUUUUUAUUAAGUUUUUUUAAUUAAAAAAAGGGAAAACUUCAAAAACCCCCCCUGUGGUUUCGUGCAUUCUCACUUUGCUACCCUGUGGUUUAAAACGUAUCAAUUUACCCCCCUGUGGUUUCAUUUUUAUCUUUUCGGAAGCUUUUUUGUUAAUAUUUCGUUAAAUUAUAUACAAAAAACUUCAGAUAACCAUCUAUAUUUAUCGAAUAGUCACUUUAGUAUCCUUUAAUUUUAACUUUGUCACUGAUUUUAAAAAAAAAUAAUAAUAAAAUUGAUAACAAAAAGAUAAAAACGAAACCACAUGGGGGCAAAUUGAUACGUUUUAAACCACAGGGUAGCAAAGUGAGAAUGCACGAAACCACAGGGGGGGUUUUUGAAGUUUUCCCUUAAAAAAAUAAAUUAAAUAAAUAAUAUAUUAUCUUUUUUUUGAAAAAAAAUAAUAAAUGUACCAAAUGAGUGCAGUUUAAUAACUUUAGUUAUGCAAAAGAUGAUACAUAUAAAAGUUAGGAUUAAUUGCAUACAUGUCUCUGUAAACAUAGUAGAUUGUAAAUAUAUUAUUCGUGUAAAGUUCAACUUUCAUAAGUUAUCCCUACAAAAAUUUUAAUGUUUUCGGAUAUGUCCCUGCCGUUAGAAACCAUUAGAAAAGCUUAGUUAACCAUAGAUUAAAUAUUUUACCCUAAUUAAUUUUUGACAUUUUUACCCCUCUUAUAUUAUAUUGUUACGAUUUUUAGAGGGAUAUAUUUGUAAUAGCAAAAUUGAAAAUAUAAACAGUUUUCUAACGAUAAUAAAUCAGAGGGGUAUAAAUGAAAAUAUUAGAAUUUUUAUAGAAAUAACUUAUGAAAGUUGAACUUUACAGAAAUAUAUUUGUAAUUUACUAUAUUUGCAGGAACCUGUACGCAAUUAACCCUAAAAAAAGUUAAUACCGUUGAUGAAUUAGAACCACGCAGAAAGAGAGAUAAUUGUAAUUUUCCACUUGUAUGGUCUACAGAUGAUGUUCGCGGAACAUGUUCACACAACAAUUUUGCUUCAAAAGAGAAUAGUACGAAGAAACAUCUCCUCCUCUCAAGUCCUUGUCAAAAAAAUAACAUGCCGAUCUUAAAAAAGUCCCAUUAUUCGACAGUGGUAGCCAUUUCUUGAAGAGUUUGGAGACCGUAUAUUUUCACUCUCUUAUUAAGUUUAAUUUGCUUUGAUCGAGCCUAUUUAUUUAAACAAAAAAGAUUUAAUUUGACUCUUUGUAAUUAAGGAAUUAAUGAUGUGUUUCAUAGAUAAUCUUCUAUAUAUAUAUAAGCUAGCUGGACCCGUACGUGCAAGAACAUUUUUCCCGUAAAAGUUUUACCCAAAAUUUGAGCAGUUAAUUAAUGCCUUAAUUUUGAUGAAGGAAAGAUAAAGUAGAUGCCUUUUCUUGUCAAAGCAGAGAAGAUGGUAGCAGAUAUGAGGAUAAAAUUUUACUGUGAAGCUCCCCAGUGGGACAAUUUACUGACACGUGUUAAUUUUAUCUACAUUCAAUAAUUUAUUGAAUAUUUUUUAUACUAAUUUUUUUAAAAAAAAUUUAAACUCUAGAGGAAAGGAUUAUAAUAUUUGAAUAUAUAUAUAUAGAAAUGACAUAACGAUGGCAGAUUGGGUGCCUCUCAACCAGGCAUCGUUGAUAAGCUCAAAUUUUUUUCAUAUAUACGAAGAACAUUUUCAAAAUACCUUACGGCUUACUUUUAUUAGGAUAACGAGAAUUUGAGCCUAAAUUCUCCCUCUCUCUCUCUGUAAGUAGAUUCUAAAGCACGCUCUUUUGCUCUAGUUGAAAUAGCAUCUUUACCAAAUUGUUUGUAGUUGAACUCAUUUUUAUGUUACCGCAGUCCCCCCAAAUUGAUUGUUGCUCUAAUCAGGUGGGCCCAAAACCCACCCAUUCGUGGGCUAGUUCUUGACCCGGUCCAUCUCUGGGUCCAUUUAAUAUUCCAACUGUGAAUUGUUCGAGUGAUUUUAGCGCCAACAAAAGCUUCAUAUAAUACUAGUGAAAUUACCGGUGCGCGUUGCUGCGUCGAUUUCGUAAAAAAAAAAAUAAUAAUAAAAAAGUCAAAGAGUAAAAUAAAAUACAAAUAAAAAAAACUUAAGAAGAAACAACAGCUGCUACAGUAUAAAUAUAAAAAUAAAAAUAUAAGAAAAAUAAAAAUAGAAUAAGAAAAAAAAACUAUAAGAAUAAUAAAUUUUUAUUUAUAAUAGUAGUAAACAUUGAGAAUUAAAAUAUAAUUUACCUUUUACUUAUAGUCAGAAAUUGCAAGUAAUUAAAAUUUGAAGACUAAAGCAUCACGUGCCUCAUAGUUUGAGGAAGAAAAUAUAAUGUAUUAAAAUUCGAGAACUAAAGUAUCAUGCAUCUUAUAGUUUGGAACCAAAAGCGUAAUUUAUUUUUUUUAUAUUUUAAUUUUAUUUCAAAUGAAGACAAAGUUUUGUACGAUAUGUUAAACUAUUUAAUAAAUUCUAGAAUGUCUAAUUGUUAAAAUUAAAAGUCGACCAAUCACAUUUUGAAUAUUUCAAAAAAUUUUAAAUAUAAAAUUGAUCGCUCAUCAAACUAUGAAUAUAACAUUGAAGUUUGAUGUAAAAAUUAACGUAAAAACAUGUAGAAUUUUUUAGACUAUAAACUAUUUUGAAUUAACUAUCAAGCCUUUCAAAAUUUUAUUUUUUACUAUCCAAUCUUUCUACAUAUUAAAUUUGAGUGGGUAAAUGAUACAUUAAUUUCAAAAUAUAAAUCCGUCAUUUAGCUUACCAAUUUGGGUAAUAUACUUCACGUGAUUUUCACAACUAAAUUUAUUAAAAAAAUUUUUAACUUAAACUCUAUCAAUCUCUUUUUUAUUAUUUAUUGUACAAUUUAUAUCUAAAUAAUCAAUAUUAUUAAAUUAAAAUUUAUGUUUAAUACAUAUAAUUUAUACUAUUUAAAAAUUAUGUAUAAAAAAUUAUAUAUUUUAAAUUUUUAUGACAAAAGAAUAGAAAAUUAGAUUGGAUUUUAAAAAAUUAAUUUCUUUAAUUAAUAGACAAUGAAUGAAAGAAAAAAAAAACACACACACACACACACAAUGAAUGAAAGAACAAAAAAACACACACACACACACACACACACACACACACAAAAGGCUGGGCCCCAGCGGCCCACCCCGACUCCCCGCUCCAGCUCCCCCACGUGGUCUAAAAGACUAACGAUUCAUAUAUUAACAUAGAUUUUAAUUUUUAUAAUAUAAAAAUAAGUGUAAAUAUCGCGUCCUAGACUUUGCUGACUCGUCUUAGCAUUUUUUUUAUAUUGAAAAAUUUUAAAAAGUAUUUAAACUUAUAAUCAUGUGUGGUAAGAUAUACCCCUUAUAAUGAAAUGUACAUGCAGUAUUUUUUUCAUUCUCAAAUUUUAUUUUUCAAAUGAAUGAAAUAGAUAGCCUGCUGUCUCCCUCUCUCUCCUAAAAAAACUCAUUAUUAUUAUCAACUAGAGUGUAAUGAACUUACAAACUCUUUCAUUUGGACUCUAGUUUAAUUUGAUACUAGUGAAGGGCCCGCGUGUUGCGCUGGAACGAUUUCGUAAAAAUAAAUAAAUAAAUAAAUAAAUAAAUAAAUAAAGUAAAAAAAAGAUUUGCUGUAAUAAAAAUAUAAGAAAUAGGGUUAACUUGACUAUUAAAAAAAUAGGAUUGCUGCAAUAAAAACCAUACGAAUUUGUUAUCUUGACUAUUAAAAAAAUAAAAUUGAUCUAUGCGAUAAAAUUUUACAUUUAUUUAUUAUAUUGACUAUUAAAAAUAGAAUUAAUUCAUUUAAUAAAAUUUUACACUUGAUUUGGCAAAAAUAAAAAAGCAAAGUUGUUAAGAAAAAAAAUAAAGAGAGAGAAAAAAGAAAAGAAAAGAAAAGAGGUGGGCCCCACCGACCCCCCAAAAUGCGGGGGGAGCCCCUUUAGGCUCUCCUAUCAUGUAUUGUAUAGAAUAGAUUUGAUGCACGACCAAAUCUUGGGUAGGUUUUUUUUGUUCAAAGAUAACUAGUAAUAAAAGCCAAACUGAUAGAGAAAGAUAACAAGUUUCCUACACUAAGUUGCUCAUUACUAAAAUAAGAAAAUAAUUAAAAACAAUACAUGAAUAAUCCCAAAUAUAUGUAUAUUAAGCUAUAUUAAAUCAUGCUAUUUCUAUACCAAUGUCUGUGCAGAAAUGGUCAUUACAUUACUCUCUCACCUGUUCUUUAGCUAAUUAAAGCAAUGCAUCUAAAAAGCAACAUGGAUCAGAUGCAUUCAAUAACUCUUUGGCCUGUUCAGGUACCAUGUAUUUAUAUGUUGUAGCAACUCCAACCUCCUUUGAAUUGUGAGUUGAUUUUAACCUUUUUAGGGCCCUUUUGAAUUUCAACCUUUUACCUCAAAAUAAAAAGGUCUUGAUACAUUGAAACGGAUCAAUAUUUUUACGCGAAAAUUGAUCUUCCCAUCUUGAUUUGAUCAAUUCUUGCAGAAAAAGUCCCCUGCUAGUCAUUUUCACUGCAACUUGAUUCUUAAACUGUCAAACUUUUCACAGUCAUGGGUGGAGCACUGCCGCCAGUCGAAUUCAUUUGAACCUUUAUUUGUCUUACUUUUCCUUCUUUCUUUUUUUUUUCCGCGCCUUAUCUCUUUUGUUGUCAUUUUGGCUCCUUUGUUAUUUUGUCAUUGUUCUUAAUUUUGUCCCUUUUUCUUCCGCUGGAGGCUUCGGUUGAGGACACGUUACCAAAUUUAUUUUUCCGAAUGGAAAAAAAGAAAAUUCAAACUUUUAUUGUACUGAUUUUAUCGUAUCGAACUUGAGUGACAGGACCCAACCAAACUUUAGGUAAAACUGAAGUUUGGUUUGGGAAAAGGACAAAGAAAAUCGAAUCUAAGAUAGAACUGAGUUAAGUUAGGAUCGAGACUUAUAAUUUUCUAGCAUUUUAUAAAAGUGAAACUAUCCCAUAUUUUAGUUUAUAGUAAAUCUAAGGAAAAACUUCAAACCCUCUCCCCACCCUGUGGUUUCGUAGUUUCUCACUUUGCCCCCCUGUGGUUUGGAAAAAGGUCAAAGAAAAUCGAAUCUAAGAUAGAACUGAGUUAAGUUAGGAUUGAGACUUAAAAUUUUCCAGCAUUUUAUAAAAGUGAAACUAUCCCACAUUUUAGUUUACAGUAAAUCUAAGGGAAAACUUCAAAAACCCCUCCUGUAGUUUCGUAGUUUCUCACUUUGCCCCCUUGUAGUUUAAAAUGUAUCAAUUUGCCCCCCGUGGUUUCUUUUUUCUCUUUUUCUGAUCAAUUUUAUUAUUUUUUUUCUUAAAUCAGUGAUAAGAUUAAAAUUAAAGGGUACUAAAGUGAAUAUUUGAUAAAUCUAUAUGGGUAUCUGAAGUUUUUUGUAUAUAAUUUAAUAAAAUAUUAACGAAAAAACUACCGAAAAGAUAAAAACAAAACCACAGGGGGGCAAAUUGAUAUACUUUAAACUACAUGGGGGCAAAAUGAGAAACUACUAAACCACAAGAAGGGUUUUUGAAGUUUUCCCUAAAUCUAACAACAAAAAUUGUUAUGUUACAGUCAAUUUUUUUAAAAAAAAGAAAAAAAUUGUAAGCAAUCCGCUUCAUUUGUUCAUUUUUUAUAUAUAAAAAAAAUCAACUAGAAAUAUAAAAUAGUUGGAUGUUAAAUUUAAAAUCUCAAAUAUGGACUACGGUGGAAAAAAAAAAAAAAAAUAAAUCCUUCUAGGUAUUAGCCAAACAGCGACUUUUACCUUAAAACCUAUAAACAUGCCAUAUUUUAGACCCGUGACAAACAGAUUCCUAACACAAGGUGGAAUCCAACAAGUGAGAACCAAAGCAGCAGGAAUCCAAAAUGCCAUGGUGGCCCCACUAAAAUACUUAAAUUAGGAUAUGGUCCCUUUUUUUUUGUUUUUUUCCCCUUUCUCUAUUGUGUUUUGGGCCAAGAAUAGUACAAAAAUCUUGCACAUGAGGUGAGCCCCAAGUUUCGAAAUGCAUAUUUAAAAAAGCCUACAAAGCAAAGAGGGUACUCGGUUUGGUUUCUUUUUUCAAAAAAAAAUAAAGUUAUAUAAGGUACACCCCUGUUUAAUCAAAAAAAAAGAAAAGAAAAAAGGAAGUUAAAAUUUUUAAAUUUAUGUGUCCCUAAAUCGAAGCAAACCAAAGUACUAUGAGAACUGAACCAAUUCAAUUUGAUUAGGUAAGACACUAAUAAUAUUUUAAGAUCUAGUCGACUAGUAUUGUACGCAAAACUUCAACUAAAUAAUUAAGAUUAUGGUCUAAAUAAAAAAAAAAAACAUUUUAAUCACAACGUGCUAUGAUUCGAUCUUAUGAGGAUAAUAUAUAUACGGAACAUAAUGAAUACUAUUACCUAAUAUAUGUUUAUAUUUCUUUGAGAGAGAAAGGUAAAGCAUGUUACCUUUAUUUCUUCUAAAAAUAAAUUUAACUGAACAAUAUAAAUGAAUUAAGAAAUUAGGCUACUGGUUAACUAUCGGUAGCACGGAGGCCUUCGUGCUACCAAAUUAUUUUCGAUGAUGCAGCUUUCUAAUCAACGAUCGGCUACAUUAGACUUAAAUAUACACUAUUAAAAGUAUUUAAAAAUUAAAUUUUAUAAUUUUUCGAUAUUAUUUGGCUAGUGAUCAAAAUGUCUCAAAAUUGACAAUUUUAAUGGCCAAUAUGAUGCGUUUGUGAAUUUAACGGUGUAAAACAAUUCAAAUUUGAUAAAAUUUUUAUAAUUUUUUUUUUACUAUUUAGAGUAAGAUUAAUAAUUCUGAUUUUAAAUUUAAAUCUUUUAUCAUUAUUUUUUAUGAAAAUUUUAUUUUUAAUCAUUUAUUUUUAAAUUACUAGUUUGAUAGGUAGAUAAAGUUAAAAAAUUAUAAAAUUUAGUUUUCAAAUAUUUUCAAUAGUAUAAACCUGAGUCUAACGAAAUCGAUCGUCGAUUGAACAGUUGUAUUGUUUAAAAUAACUUAGUAACACAUAGACCUCCAUACUAUCGAUAGUAUACCGAGAAGGCUCUUCGAACUUGAGAUCUCGUAUACAAACGAUUAGAUUUUUUAGCACGAGCAACGGCCGGUAAUAUAUGCAAACGAUGGUGAUAAGUAUUAGGAGGGUUUUUAAGUGGUGGCUUCUUAUCUUGUUGUUUUUGGCUUUUGUAGAGAAGCGCUUACUAAGAUGGCGAGAAGCGCUUCUGAGGAGCCUCUUCUCCCUUUGUUGGAGUUGAAAAGUUCCGAGAAAUUGGCGGAGACGCAUCAACAUGAUGAUGCCACUUUCAUUAGGACUUGUUUUAAUGGGCUCAACGCUUUAUCAGGUAAAAUCUCAAUCUUUUUUCUUCUUUUUUAUUAUUAUUUAUUAUCAUUAUUGUUGCCGUUUAUUAGUGCAAAUUUUUAAUAAAAAGUAUAUAAUCUCGUUCAAGAAUCUUAUAUAACAUCAGGUCCUUUUCAUCCACUGCUCUUUAUUUUAAUUUUGAAUGAGACCAUGUUCAUCACAUAGGUACGUCUCCAUAUGGUUUCCUUUUUCGUUCUCGAGUUAAAAAGGUUUUUUUUUUUUUUUUUAACAAAAGAUUAUGAUCUUGAUCUCAAUAUUUUUUUUAAAAAAUAUUUAACAAAAUGGAGAAUGUAAAAAGAAAAUAAUAAUAAUAAUAAUAAUACUUCAUCAUAGUUCAUCAAUCGAUGUUAUUAAUUUUUGUGGUAUUAAUUCUUUUUCCCUUUAUUUUUGCUGUUUUAUUUUACUCUCCUUUUUAUUGUAUUAUUUACUCUAUGUCAUUUCAUUUUAUGUUUCUCCAAAUUCAUCAAUUUAUUUUUCCUAACUUUCAUAUCCUCCAUUUUUUUUUUUCUUUUUUUCUGGACGGUUUAUGAGUUAGUGAGUACUCAAAUAGGCUAGUUCUCUGUGAAUAGAUCUUUGCGUUAGAAGCCACAUUAUAUUCUCUCUAUGAUAAAUUUACAAUACUAAUGUAGUCAUUAAUGUGUUUUUUUGUUGUUGUUGUUGCUGCUGUUCUAUUGUUCUGUGUCAUAUAGGAGUUGGACUACUGUCAAUCCCCUAUGCACUUUCACAAGGAGGUUGGUUAAGCCUGCUGCUACUCUUCAUUGUAGCCAUGAUCUGUUGCUACACCGGCCUGCUCCUUCAACGGUGCAUGAACGCCGACCCGAGAAUCCGAACCUAUCCGGACAUCGGCGAGUUCGCAUUUGGCUACUCGGGAAGGAUCUUCGUGUCGAUCUUCAUGUACUUGGAGCUCUACCUCGUCGCGAUCGGGUUCUUGAUACUAGAGGGUGACAACUUGGAUAAGUUGUUCCCCGACACUAGGCUUACCGUCGGAACCGUCAGCAUCGCGAGUAAGCAGUUGUUUGUCAUGCUAGUCGCGCUUAUAAUCUUGCCGACUACUUGGCUGCGGAGUCUCGGCGUGCUUGCUUAUGUCUCGGCCGGAGGGGUUCUUGCCUCGGUUAUUGUUGUGUUCUCCGUGCUGUGGGCCGCGACGGUUGAUGGGGUUGGAUUCGGUGAAAGAGGGAGGUUCUCCAACUUGAGCGGUCUGCCGACCGCUCUGGGGCUUUACACAUUCUGUUAUUGCGGCCACGCUGUGUUUCCGACGCUAUGCACUUCGAUGAAGGAUAAGAGUAAGUUCUCAAAGGUGAGUAGCACAAGGAGCUAGCAUUCCAUUAAGGAUGCGUUUGGUUCACGUUUUUUUUUUUAAGAUUCCUACUAAUCUAAUAGGAAUAAAAAAUAUGAUGAUGUUUGGCUAAACACACUAAGUAAUUUAGUUGAUAAUAUUAGAUUUACUUGAGAAUAAGAUUCAUUCCAAAGUACUAAUCUCAUUCCCUUGAGGGAGGGUGGGUAUCCUCUAUUAAUGGAUUUGGGUAAUCAUAAUAUGUCUAAUCUCUUUCUUUCUCUUUAGCCGCCGGUUAGUUGGUAUUAUUUUUCUUUACAUUCUAAUCUCAUAUCUCUCUUUAAACUUAUUUUUUUCUCUCUAAAUUUUAACUCUUUUUCUCUCUCUAAACUAAGCUCUCUCUUCCCCUCUUUUUCUAAAAUCUCAAUUCUCUCACUCCCUCUAAUUUCGACUCUAUUUUUCUUCUUAUUUCUUUAAUUAUGCUCUCUCUUCCUUUUUUUCUAAAAAAAUAUUAAAAUUUUUGAUAGCAUUAUUUAAAAUUAAUUAAAGAAAUAAAUAAAUAAAUAGUAUAUUUUUUGUAAACUUAAAUAACAUGACUAAAUAAUAUGAUCGUGCGAACCAAACACAGGAAUACCACAUUCUUAGUAAUAGGAUGAAUAGGAAUAAGAUUCUCGAACAUCUUUUUAUUGCUAGUAAUCUUUUAUAGUGCGAACCAAACGCACCCUAAGUGCUAUACAAUUUUAAGUAGCAAGGGUACAGUAGGUGAUCUCACAGCAGUUCAGAACAGAACCCUUUUAAAUUACCACUGAAGCUUCUCAACAAGAAAAAAAAAGAAGAAAAAAAAAGAUGAUAUGGUAUUACUUUAACUAGUAGUGAAUUUCGUAACCAAUUAUUGAACUUUUCGGUCAUCUCAUUACCAGAGAAAGAUGAUUUCAGAAGUUAAAUGCUCUGUUUGUUACAUGUCUCCAUGCCCAUUGAAUUGAUUCUUUGUUUGAAUUAUGUGUCAUUAGCCUUGCUUAGUUGAUUCUCUUUUUCUCAUUGUAGGUGUUGCUGCUAUGCUUUAUUACAUGCACUCUUAACUACGGCUCGAUGGCAAUUUUGGGCUACCUCAUGUACGGCGACAGUGUAAACUCUCAAGUGACUUUGAAUCUCCCUACAGGAAAGCUUAGCUCGAAGGUAGCAAUAUACACCACACUAAUCAAUCCGUUCUCCAAGUAUGCCUUGAUGAUUGCCCCGGUCGCAACUGCAAUCGAAGAAAGAUUGAUCACGGUCAACAAGAGAUCUCCUAUGCUGUUGAUUCGAAGCCUCGUGGUUCUUAGCACCGUGGUUAUAGCCUUAACCAUCCCAUUCUUCGGCUCGCUUAUGGCGCUCAUUGGCUCAUUACUAAGCAUCAUAGUGUCUAUGAUGCUGCCCUGUAUAUGCUACAUCAAGAUAUUCGGGGCGUCACAAGUUCGGAAGGUCGAGCUAGUACUCAUCUCGGGGAUUUUGUUGACGGGUUCUUUGGUUGCUGUAACCGGCACUUACUCUUCUUUGAAGGAGAUUAUUCAUCAAUUCUGAGUAUUCCUACGGGAAAUUGUAGUGUUCUACCCAUAGAGUUCAUCAGUUAGCGUGACCGACAGCGAAGGGAAGCUCAUUCUGUGUACAAUUGUAAAGAAUAGCUUUCAGCGGCUGCAAAUCGAAUCAAUUAGAGAUGCAUGCAUGUAUGUGGUCGGCGACGCUCUUUCCAGUGACUCACUGUGAGUCAAUUUGGUUCUUGGAUUCUGAGACCGAUUCGAAGCCUGCUAGUGAUUGCUCCGAAGGACACGACUGAUCAAGUUUCCUCCAGGAGAAGGAAGAGGAAAACUGGAGGGUACCGCCGACAUGAUUUCGUGUUCGGUGUAAAGUCCACCCUGUGCUGUUUCUAUGCUAGUUUUAUGCAGAAGAACUAUUUUGCCAACAUAUUUGAUUGGCAUGUUAAAUAAACGGCGAAAACUCGAUCUUUGUAAUUGCCGAUUAUAAGUUCGAUCUUUGUAAUUGCUGAUUAUAAGGUCACUUUUUGAUUCUCUGGGAACUAAUGUUUGCGUUCUAAUUGUCUAUUAUAGAAUCAGAAUCGUAUGGUGUGAUAGGAUUAGUAGGUGGACCAUGUUUAAGUUCUUUGAUCAGGUACAGAUUGAAGUUUUAGACAAAUCGAAGUCCCCAGUACUUAAAGGCCUGAAAUUAUAUAAUAAUCGCUCUUAUUCUUAUCAUCUACUUACAACGUGCCUCCCCAUGUGCUUGGACUCUACCAGUCGCCACUUUAGACUCUUAUUAUGCAUUUCGGAAACUAUGUCACCAAUCGAUUAGGUUUAAUUCCUUUUAAUUAAGUUAAACUCGAAUCGUACCAAACUACUGUGAGAACUGGAUCAAUAUUAAUUAAGCUAACGUAAUCAGUUUUGUUUUCGUAUAAGAAUCCAAUUACAGGGUUCAAUUUAGAACCAAUCUGUAAAUGAAGCACGUGCUCAUCAAGAUCGCAGCAAUUUUUAAGCCACUAAUUGUACUUAAAUUUCGACUAGAUGAUUAAGAUAAGGUUCUAAAGAGAUGAAUAUUUUAGAACGUGCAAUAUGUACUAAAUACUACAAAAAAAAAAAUUAAUAUAAGAACACUUUUUAGACGACGCUUAGGGAAGUGUCUCCAUGCGUUUUUACAAUAUAGAAAAUAUCGAUGUUUCAAAAAACGUCGUCAUAUAAUAUCAAACAAUUUAUUAAAUGAUAAUAAAUUUUACUAUUAUUUUUAAUUUUUCGACGCUUUAAAGCGUGAGGAUUUCAAAAAUCUUAACAUUUUAAAGCAUCAUAAUAUAUUUUACCGACACUUGAUAUAAGUGUCGAUAUAUGCAUGGCAACUAUUCAUUUGUCGACUCUUUCAAAAAUAACGUUGGAAUAUAUUGGAACGAUCUUAAGUAUCGUAAAAUAAAAAAAAGAGUGUCCUUAAAUGUAGCGUUUUUUGUAGUAUAUAUAUGUAGCUAAUGAAGCAUACAUGCACCAUAAGUAGGGGUGUAAACGAGCCGAACACGACCUGGCCUGUUAAAGUAUCGAGCCGAAAAAUUCAGCUUGUGUUCGGUUCGUUAAUAAACGAGCCGAACAAAAGCUGGCUCACAAGCUGGUCAACAAACAAUAAGUUUAAAAAGAUUAGAUUCAAUAUGCAUAAAAAAAUAAAUUUAUAAAACUAUUCAUUUGACUUUGAUUAAUAGUUGAAAUUUACAUAUAAAUAAGUCUUUUAAAUAUAGCUCGCAUUCAUAUUUUAUUUUGCUAAAAAUUAAAUAAUAAAAAAUAUAUUUGUACAUAUAAUUAUUAUUUAUAUAUAAAAAUAUAAAUUAAAUAAUUAAUAUAUAAUAUAAAUAUAUGUAUUUCGAGCUGUUAUCGAGCCGAACACGAGUGAGCUGAACCCAGCUCGUGUUCGGCUCGUUUAUUAAACGACUUAAAAAAUCCAGCUCGUGUUCGACUCGUUUACUAAACGAUCUCGAGCUCAUUUCGAGUCCAGAGUGUCGCAACAGCCGAGCUGGCUCGCGAACAGCGAGCUGGAUUGCCACCCCUAACCAUUAGAAUAUUGUCUGAUAUAUAAGGUAUUUAAUUUGUUUGGCUUAUUCAUCGAGAAGAGCUUAAUAAGAUGGCGAGAAGCGCUUCUGAGGUGCUUCUUCUCCCUUUGUUGAAGUUGAACAGUUCAAAGAAAUUGGUGGAGGGCCAUCAACAAGAUGACGCCACUUUCGUUAGGACUUGUUUUAAUGGGCUUAACGCUUUAAUUAACUGGUGCAAUCUCAAUCUUAUUAUUAUUAUUAUUAUUAUUAUUAUUAUUUCUAUUUGUUUUUUAUUGCCAUUUAUAAGUGCAAAUUUUUAUGAAGAAGUAAUCUUUUUCGAGCAUCUUUAUGUAACAUCACGUCUUUUUCAUCUCAGGAAUUGUUGUCUUUUUCUAAAAAAUUAUUAUUAUUCUUAUUUUAAGUUUGCCCGAGAUCUUGUUUAGAUAUGUAUGCCUCCCCAUGGUUUUUCUUUUAGAAACAUAUUGAUUGCAUGUAAUUACAAAUUAUAUUAUUAUUGUAAUUGUAUGCAGAUUAAAAUUUGAUCUUUGAUUUGAUAUGUUUAAAUUUAACUACUACAGUUGGUGCUGCACGAGAAGUCGUACAUGCUCAAAUUAGCUACAGUUCAAAUUGCCGCAGUAUAUUUUUUGCUACAUCCAACCAAACAAGACAUAUAAAAUUAUAUAUUAACUUUUUUAACUAGAUAUAUCUUCAAUUGUACCGUAUUUAUAAUUAUAUCUAAUCAAACGGAGCUUUUUCUUUUCUUGAGUAAAAUGGGUUUUUAAAGAAAAAAAUUUAUGAACUGGAAUUCAAUGUCUUUUUUAUUUAUUUAGGGUGCAUUUGGUUUCACUUAAAAGUAGUUGAAAAUUUUUUUUUGGGUUUGAAAAUAAAUUUUCUAGCGUUUGUUUUGAUGUUUUACAUAUUUGAGAGAAAACCGACUUUUCAUUUUUCACGAAAAUGUGGCAGAAAACAAAAACUCACCUGGCCAAAACAUGCGGCGCAUGGCGUUCCCCCGAAUCACAGUCCACGAGCUUAUGCACCCUCCCUUAAUUACUAAUAGCCUUUGGAUCAAACACUAUUUCAUCUACCACCAUCAUCUCAACCUUACAUCUCUUAAUCCAAUGGCUAAAAACUCAAAAGCACCACUUCUUUGGUACUUUUGAGAGUAUUCUAACUCAAAUCAUAUAUAUAUAUAUAUAGAGAGAGAGAGAGAGAGAGAGAGAGAGAGAGAGAGAGAGAGAGAGAGAGAGAGAGAGAGGCUAUUAUACUUCUGGAAGCACGGAGUCUUUCGUGCUUCCAUAUCGUUUUUGAUGUUGUGAUUUUUGAAUCGUCGAUCGGCUCCGUUAAACUUGAUCUAGAGUAUUUGAAGUAGCUAGAAAAUAAAUUUUGUAAUUUUUCGAUAUCAUUUGCCUAGUGAACUAAGGGGCUCAAAAUCAACGGCUGAAAAUAAAAACCUUACAAAAUGUGAUAAUAUGACAUUAAAAUUUUAGAUCAAAGAUAUUGAUCUUGUUUUAUAUAGUAUAAAGAAUUUUCUAUCAAAAUUUCACGUGAUUUGAAUAUUUCUAUACCAUUAAACUUGCAAACGGCUCACCACGGCCCUUAAAAUUAUUGAUUUUGAGUCUCUUCGAUCACUAGGCAAAUGAUAUCGAAAAAUCAUAAAAUUUAUUUUUUAAGUACUUCAAAUACUCUAGAUCAAGUUUAACGGAACGAUCGACGAUUUCGAAGUUCGCUAACAUCGAAAAUGACUUGAAAGACGGAAGGUCCGAACAUAGUAGCCUCUCUCUCUCUCUCUCUCUUCUCUCUCUCUCUCUUCUCUCUCUUCUCUCUCUCUCUAUAUAUAUAUAUAUUAUAUAUAUAUCACUCACUCUCUCUCUCUCUCUAUAUAUAUAUAUAUGUAUGUAUAAUAUAUAUAGAGCUAGGUACAUAUACUAUCUAUAGUACGAGCUCCGUACUAUAUUUGUUUGUUUUCGAUCAUAGGCGUUCAAUAUCAACGAUCCACACCGUUAAAACUGAUCUAAGGGCAUUUAAAGUUUUGAAAAAUAAAUUUUAUAUUUUUUCGACAGUUUACCUUAUGAUCAAACUAUUUCAAAUUGUCAAUUUUCAAAGGCUAUUAUGACGAGUUUGGAGUUUAACGGUGUAGAAGAAUCUAAAUUUCUUCAAAUUUGAUAGAAAAUACUUUAAAACUAUAUAGAUUAAGGUUACAUUCUUGAUCUUGAAUUUAAAAGUCCUAUGCUCAAAUUUUAAAGAUUAUUUAAUUUUCUACCAUCCAUUUUGAUAUAAUUUAUUAACUAAACGAUAUCGAAAAAAACUAAAAUUUUAUUCUCUAGAAAUUCAUUAUACUUAGAUCAUAUUUAACGGUGUGGAUCUUGAUUGAACCGUCUAAGAUCGAAAAAACAUUAUAGUAACCGAGCUCGUACUAUAGAUAGUGUAGUAGCCUAUAUAAUAUAUAUAUAUUAUAUUAUAUUGUAUGUAUAUAUGUAUAGAUAUAAUAUAUAUUAUAUCAUAUAUAUAUACAUAUAUAUUAGCUAUAUAUAUAUAUAUAUAUACUAAUAAUACAUAUAUUAUGUAUGUAUGUACGUAUAUACAUACAUACAUAUAUGUAUGUAUGUAUGUACGUAUAUACUAAUACAUACAUAUAUGUAUGUAUGUAUGUAUACGUAUAUACAUACAUACAUACAUAUAUGUAUGAUAUAUAUAUAAUGUGCUUGGUGUGUGUGUGUGUGUGUGUUGUAUACAUAAUAUAAUAUAUUAUUAUAUAUAUAUAUGAUAAUUAUUAUAUAAUAUACGUAUUAUAUAUGAACGCCCCUCCCAUAUAUAGAGUUGAGCUGGAAUACUAUCGGUAGCAAACGGGUUCCGUUGCCACCCAUUUGUUUUCGAUGAUGGAGCCACCAAAUAAUCUAUACCACUUGAAGUAUCUAGAAAUCAAAUUUCAUACUUUUUCGAUAUUGUUUUCUUGUUCAUUAAGUGAGCGUAAAAAUGAGCGGCUGAAAAUAAAUAUCAUCUAAAAAGUGAUGAUAGAAAUUCUGCAAUCAAGAUCGAGAGUAUAGAUAUUGUUCUAAAUAGUUUAAAGAAUUUUCUAACCAAAAUUCAAUUGAUUUGAAUAACUUUACACCGUUAAACGAGAAAACGCCUCAUAUCGAUCAUUAAAAUUACAAAUUUUAAAACCCUUUGAUCAUUAGGUCAAUGUGUCAAAAAGAUUUAAAAUUUGAUUUCUAGAUACUACAAGUGGUAUAGAUCAUGUUCAACAGUGCGGAUCGUCGAUUUGAAGGCUCCAUCAUUGAAAAUAAAUGGGUGGCAACGGAGCCUGUUUGCUACCGAUAGCAUUUCAGCUCAACUCCCCAUAUAUAUAUGGGAGGAGAUGAUUCAGUUGACGGAAGAGAGAGAGAGAGAGAUAGGGGCGUUAGUCCAAAUUUUUGUCAACUAGAAGGGAUAUGUCUGGUAGGAGAUAGUUUUCACAAUGCAUUCCGAUGAGAAGACUAAUUAUUGCGCAUGGACUAGGUCAAAGAGAGGAACGAAGGAUGCUCUAAUGGGCAGAUAAAACAAUAUUAGGUGGUGAGAAUAGUUUUGUAUAUACUAUCUCUCAUAUAUCUAAUUAAAAGAAUUAGGUGUGAAAAAAAUAAAACAUUUAAAUAAGCUAUCAAAUCAACUUAAAUAUUAAAUGUUCAUAUUUCAAUGUGAUUAUAUUUAUUUAUAUAUUGAAAAAUUAAUUAAAAUUUUAAUAUUUUGGGUGGUAAACAGUAUUUCAAAUGAAAAAAUUAUAUAACUUGAAAAUAUAUCAAUUUGGAAAAAAUAGAUGAAUGAUAAAUAAAUAAUGCUUAUAUAAUAAAUUAUAUUGAAAUAUGGAUCAAAUUAAUUAUCAAAUAUUGAGUUUUAUUCCAUAAAUUUACAAUCUAAAUUUAUUAAUUUAAAAUUUAUAAUUACUUCAAAUUUUUAAAUUUGGAUACACAUUAAAAAAAUUAAAGUUAGAAAAAAAUUAACUGAUAAAUAAAUUUAUACCCAAUAAUUACUUAAUUUUAAAUAUAAAUAUAAAUUUAAUUUAAUUAAAUGUUACGUACAUUGCACGUGCACUAUAACUAGUAUAUAUAUAUAAUAUAUAUAUAUAUAUAUAUAUGCUAGUCUCCUAUAAUAUUAUAGUACUGGGCUCCGGUACUAUAGUCUCGUUUUCGAUCUUAGGUGUUCAAAUCAACGAUUCAUACAGUUAAAACUGAUCUAGGUAUUUAAAGUUUUUAGAAAAUAAAUUUUAUAUUUUUCGAUAUAGUUUACUUUAUGAUCAACCAUUUCAAAAUUGUCAAUUUUCAAUGGCUAUAUGGAGUUUGGAGUUUAACGUGUAGAAGAAUCUAAAUUUCUUCAAAUUUGAUAGAAAAUACUUUAACAUCUAUAUAUUAAGGUUAACAUUCUUGAUCUUGAAUUUAAAAUUCUAUGCUCAAAUUUUAAAGAUUAUUCUAUUUUCACCGUCCAUUUUGAUAUAAUUUAUUUACUAAGUAAACGAUAUGAAAAAAACUAAAAUUUUAUUUCUAAGAACUUCAUAUACCCUAGAUCAUAUUUAACGGUGUGGAUCGUUAAUUUGAACCCCCUAAGAUCGAAAAUAAGACUAUAGUACCGGAGCUCCGGUACUAUAGAUAGUAUAGUAACCUAAUUUAUAUAUAUAUAUAUAUAAUAUAUAUAUAUAUAUUAUAUAUAUAUAAUAUAUAUAUAUAUAUAAUAAAUNNNNNNNNNNNNNNNNNNNNNNNNNNNNNNNNNNNNNNNNNNNNNNNNNNNNNNNNNNNNNNNNNNNNNNNNNNNNNNNNNNNNNNNNNNNNNNNNNNNNNNNNNNNNNNNNNNNNNNNNNNNNNNNNNNNNNNNNNNNNNNNNNNNNNNNNNNNNNNNNNNNNNNNNNNNNNNNNNNNNNNNNNNNNNNNNNNNNNNNNNNNNNNNNNNNNNNNNNNNNNNNNNNNNNNNNNNNNNNNNNNNNNNNNNNNNNNNNNNNNNNNNNNNNNNNNNNNNNNNNNNNNNNNNNNNNNNNNNNNNNNNNNNNNNNNNNNNNNNNNNNNNNNNNNNNNNNNNNNNNNNNNNNNNNNNNNNNNNNNNNNNNNNNNNNNNNNNNNNNNNNNNNNNNNNNNNNNNNNNNNNNNNNNNNNNNNNNNNNNNNNNNNNNNNNNNNNNNNNNNNNNNNNNNNNNNNNNNNNNNNNNNNNNNNNNNNNNNNNNNNNNNNNNNNNNNNNNNNNNNNNNNNNNNNNNNNNNNNNNNNNNNNNNNNNNNNNNNNNNNNNNNNNNNNNNNNNNNNNNNNNNNNNNNNNNNNNNNNNNNNNNNNNNNNNNNNNNNNNNNNNNNNNNNNNNNNNNNNNNNNNNNNNNNNNNNNNNNNNNNNNNNNNNNNNNNNNNNNNNNNNNNNNNNNNNNNNNNNNNNNNNNNNNNNNNNNNNNNNNNNNNNNNNNNNNNNNNNNNNNNNNNNNNNNNNNNNNNNNNNNNNNNNNNNNNNNNNNNNNNNNNNNNNNCACUCGUAAAAUCGAAAAGAAGACUAUGGUAGUACUGGAGCUUCGAUACUAUAGAUAGUAUAGUAGCCUAAUUCUAUAUAUAUAUAUAUAUAUAUAUAUAUAUUAUAAUAUAUAUAUAUAUAUAUAUAUAUAUAUAGAAUUAGGCUAGAUACUAUUAGUAGUAAAAAAGCUCUUUUUGCUAUCAAGUUUUAACCCUUGAAUAAAAAUUGUAGGGUUAGGAUAUAUCUAGUCAGUUAGAGUUGAGUGGUCCCCCUAGGUUGAGUGGUCUCCCUGGGUUAUAGUAUUAAUCUAAUGGUAGAAAUGAUGAAAAAAAGAUUGAUCCAAAGGCUAAAAACCUGGUAGCCAACAAAUGAAUUUUGCUACUAAUAUAGCCCAGUCCAACUCUAUAUAUAUAAUAUAAGAGUUGAGGCUAGAAUACUCUCGAUAGUAAACGGGGCGUUUACUAUCGAGUUGUUUUCGAUGAUAGAGCUUCCAAAUGACGAUCGGCUCCGUUUGAACAUGAUCUAUACCACUGAAGUGUUUAGAAAUCAAAUUUCAAAUCUUUUCGACAUCAUAUGCUAAUGAUCAAAGGGUUUCAAAUUGUAAUUUUAAUGGUGGAUAACAGACGUUUUCUCGUUUAACGGUUGUAAAGAUAUCCAAAUCAAUUUGAAUUUUUGUUAGAAAAUUCUUUAAAACUAUUUAAAACAAGAUCUAUACUCUUGAUCUUGAUUACAAGACUCCUAUCAUCAUUUUUUAAAGAAUAUUCAUUUUCGGGCCAUUCGAAUUUUUUGUUCACAUAGAGAGAUAAAAGAACAAUAUCGAAAGUGCGUGAAAUUUGAUUUCUAGGUAGUUUAAAUGGUUUAGUCAUAUUUAACGAAACGAUCGUCAAAUUGGGAAGCUCUAUCAUCGAAAACAACUCGAUAGUAAAACGCCCCGUUUACUACAGAGAGUAUUCUAGCUCAACCUCUAUAUAUAUAUAUAUAUAUAUAUAUAUAUAAUUAGAUGGGAUACUAUUAAUAGUAAAACCCUCUUUUUGCUAUCAAGUUUUAACCCUUGGAUGAAAAUUGUAGGGUGUAGGAUGAUAUUAGUCAGUUGAGUUGAGUGUCCUCCCUAGGGUUGAGUGGUCCCACUGGGUAAGUAUUUAAUCCAAUGGUUCAGAAAUGAUGAAAAAAAGUUGAUCCAAAGGCUAUAAAAAUGGUAGCAACAAUAAGAUUUUGCCUACUAAUAGCUAAGCUCCAGCUCCAAACUCCUAUAUAUAUAUACUAUAUAUAGUUAUAUAUAUAUAUAUAUAUAUAUAUAUAUAGAGAUAGAGAGAGGCAGAUUGAGCGAAUCAGAGCCGAUGCGUCCGGCGGAGUCCCCUGAGCGAGAGGAGACUACCGACGCACCGGGCUGAGGAUGUAUGAGACGGAGGAGAGGGGACGGGGCGAGGGGAGGGAGCUGCGGAGGACAGACGGGACCUGGAGAGAGAUUCAAAUUAACGAUCCACACCGUUAAAUAUGAUUUAGGGUAUAUGAAAUUUUUAGGAAUAAAAUUUUAGUUUUUUUCGACAUCGUUCACUUAAUAAAAAAAAUUAUGUCAAAAUGGACGAUGAAAAUUAAAUAAUCUUUAAACUUUAAGUAUAGGACUUUUAAAUUCAAGAUCAAGAAUGUUAAUCUUAAUCUAAAUAGUUUAAAGUAUUUUCUAUUAAAAUUUAAAGAAAUUUAGAUUAUUCUACACCGUUAAACUCCAAACUCGCCAUAGUAGCCAUUGAAAAUUGACAAUUUUGAAAUGAUUUGAUCAUAAAGUAAACUAUGUCGAAAAAAUAUAAAAUUUUAUUUCUAAAAACUUUAAAUACCCUAGAUCAGUUUUAACGGUGUGGUUCGUUGAUUUGAACACCCUAAAAUCGAAAACGAAACUAUAGUACCGGAGCCAGAUAGUAUAGGAGACUAUAUAUAUAUAUAUAACUAAGCUGGUAUAUUAUCGGUAGUGUAGAGACCUUCGUAUUACUGAUAUAUUUUCAAUGAUGCAGCUUUUAAAUUGAUGAACGGUUCUAUUAGACUUGACCGAUAUAUACUAUUGAAAGUACUUGAAAACUAAAUUUUAUAAUUUUGUGUCAUUAGUCUUGCUUAGUUGAUUCUCUUUUUCUCAUUGUAGGUGUUACUGCUAUGCUUUAUUACGUGCACUCUUAACUACGGAUCGAUGGCAAUUUUGGGCUACCUCAUGUACGGCGACAGUGUAAACUCUCAAGUGACUUUCAUCUCCCUACAGGAAAGCUUAGCUCGAAGGUAGCAAUAUACACCACACUAAUUAAUCCGUUCUCAAAGUACUCCUUGAUGAUUGCCCCGGUCGUAACUGCAAUCGAAGAAAGAUUGAUCACGGUCAUCAAGAGAUCUGCUACGCUGUUGAUUCGAAGCCUCGUGGUUCUUAGCACCGUGGUUAUAGCCUUAACCAUCCCGUUCUUCGGCUCCCUUAUGGCGCUCAUUGGCUCAUUACUAAGCAUCAUAGUGUCUAUGAUGCUGCCCUGUAUAUGCUACAUCAAGAUAUUUGGCGCGUCACAAGUUCGGAAGGUCGAGCUAGUACUCAUUUCGGAGAUUUUGUUGACGGGUACUUUGGUUGCUAUAACCGGUACUUACGCUUCUUUGAAGGAGAUUAUUCAUCAACUCUGAAUAUUUCUGCAGGGAACUUGUAGUGUUCUACCCGAAGAGUUCAUCAGUUAGCGUGACCGACAGCGAAGGGAAGCUCAUUCUGUGUACAAUUGUCAAGAAUAGCUUUCAGCGGCUGCGAAUCGAAUCAAUUAGAGAUGCAUGCAUGUAUGUGGUCGGCGACGCUCUUUCCAGUGACUCACUGUGAGUCAAUUUGGUUCCUGGAUUCUGAGACCGAUUCGAAGCCUGCUAGUGAUUGCUCCGAAGGACACGGCUGAUCAAGUUUCCUCCAGGAGAAGGAAGAGGAAAACUGAAGGGUACUGCAGACAUGAUUUCGUGUUCGGUGUAAAGUCCACCAUGUGCUGUUUCUAUGCUAAUUUUAUGCAGAUCAACUAUUUUGCCGACAUAUUUGAUUGGCAUGUUAAAUAAAUGGCGAAAACUCGACUCUUCUUCGUAAUUGCCGAUUUUAUUGUCACUUUUCGAUUUUCUGGCAACUGAUGUUUACGUUCUAAUUGUUUAUUAUAGAAUCAGAACUGUAUGGUGUUUAAGUUCUUUGAUAAGUUACAGAUUGAAGUUUUGGACAAAUGGAAGUCUCCAGUCACGGCUUGAAAUUAUAUAUAUAAUAAUUGCUAUUACUUACAACGUGCGUCCCCAUGUGCUUGUGCUCUACCAAUUGGUUUGAUUCCUUUUGAUUAAGUAAAGCUUUUUUUUUACCCUUUUAGAAAUAUGUAAAUAGAAUCUAAUUACAGUAUUUGGAUCUAUACAAUUUGAUUUUCUGUUGAGAAUCAGACUGAAUAAAGCACGUGCUAAUCAAGAUCGCAGCAAAUUCUGAAGCCACUGAGAGCCUGCUUGUUUGCACGGAAGUGGGAUGGGAAAGUGAUUUUCGGUGAAAACUGACUAUUUUCGUUGUUUGGUUCACCGUAAAAAAGUUACGGUCGAAAGUCCAGUUAACCAAAAACGACGUAAUUGACUUCAGCCUAUUGUGGGCCGAAGUCAAUUAUGGUGAUUAAGAUAAGAUUCUAAAAAGACAAAUAUUUUAGAACGUGCACUACAAUAAAAACGGUCUAUAGCGACACUUUUAAAUAUAGGUACAUGUCAAAAAAGUGCUGCUAGCUAAAAUUACCGAUACUUUUAAAAAGUGUUGCUAUAUGUGGGGUCGCUAGGCAUAUAGUAACAAUUAAAGAGUGUUGCUAUAACCUAAAAGAGUGCUGCUAAUUUACCAACACUUAUUUAAGCAUUUAGCAACCGCCGAAACUCUAUCUCGUUGGCUGCGGUGGCAGAGGAGGACGACAGGAAAGGCUUUUCGUCUAGAAUUUCAGUGGAUUGAGUAAAGAGAGAAGAAAAGAUGGUAAUUAAUUUUUCUUUUUUUUUUCUUUUCUGUUUAUAAUCGGGCCAAAUGAACUGGAUGUGGUGAGUUGAGUAGAGUAAUCUUUUAUUUUUGGUUGGAUUGGGCUUUAUAUUUAGGCAUUAGUAGAUAUUUUUUUUAAGUUUUAGAAUAAAUGGGACACUUACUCAAAAGUGUCCCAAACAUGUGUCCCUAUAACAUAAUUCUGUUAUAGUGGUGCAAUAUGUACUAUGCAGAGACAAAGCCAGGAUUCAAUCACGAGGAGGGCAAAAUAUAUACAAAUAAAAUUUUAGCAAAUAAAUAAAAUUUUAACUACUCAAAUUUUUAAUAAAAAAAUGUAGUGAUUAGAUAAUUAAUGUUAAAAAUAUUAAAUUUAUUUUUUUAAUUUACACUUGCUUAACUUUCAAUUAUUUUAUUUGCAUUAUUUUAUUCAAAUAACUUAAGAAUUUUACUAAAUCUAAUCAUAAUUUAGUUAUCAUUUAAUUUUUAAAUUUUUUUAAUAAAAUAAUGACAACCAAUGACUAAUAUUCAACAGAGCUCCUAAAUUUAGCAUAUAAUUUUAUUUAGUUGUAUAAAUUAGCUCAUCAAAAAUAAUUAGAAAGUUAAGAAUGUAUAAAUAAAAUAUUUAAAGUUGAAAGGACGUAUUUUAAAAUACACUAUAAUUAAGAGGUUCUUAGUAUAUUUUCACUUAUAAAACAUAUAAUUAAGUAGAGAGAGCUGUAUACUGGCGCUAAAAUUUUUUUAUAAAAUAGGCUCGUAUAUUUUAAAAAUUAACUAAAAAUUUAUGAACUGCCAAAGAACUAUAAAGUUAAUAUUGAAAAGUUAAUAUUGAAAAGUUAAGGAGGGCCGUAGCCCCUUUGGAUCUAUAUAUGGCUCUGUCCCUGGUACUAUAUAGCUAAUGAAGAUACAUGCACCAUGAGAAUAUUAUGAUUAUAAGAUUAUAUGUAAGUUGGUGAUAGGCGAGAAGCGCUUAAUAAGAUGGCGAGAAGCGCUACUGAGGAGCCCCUCCUCCCUUUGCUGGAGUUGAACACUUCAAAGAAAUUGGUGGAGGCCCAUCAACAAGAUGACGCCACUUUCGUUAGGACUUGUUUUAAUGGGCUUAAUGCUUUAUCUGGUGCAAUCUCAAUCUUUUUCUUCUUUUUUUUUAAACUUGUUUUUUGUUGCCAUUUAUUAGUGCAGAUUUUUAAGAAGAAGUAUAAUCUUGUUCGAGGAUCUUAAUGUAAUUAACAUCAGGUCUUUUUCAUCUCAAGGUAUUGUUGUCUUUUUUUAAACAUAAUUAUUAUUCUUAUUUUAAGUUUGACCGGGAUCAUGCAUAGAUAUGUAUGCCUCUCCAAGGUUUUCUUUUUUAGAAACAGUUUGAUUGCAUGCAAAAUUACAAAUUAUAUUAUUGUUGUAAUUAUAUGCAGAUUAAAAUUUGGUGUUUGAUAUGUUUGAAUUUAACUGUUACAGUUGGUAUUAUACGAGAAGUCUUAACUGUAGUAGUUUAAACUACGCUUAAACUGGUGCUGCAGUUCCAAUUGUUACAGCAUACUUUCUACUCUAUCCAACUAAAUAAAAUGUAAAAAAUUAUAUAUGAAUUUUCUUAACUGGACGUAUCUCUAACUGCACCAUAUAUAUAAUUACGUCAAAUCAAAGUGCCCUUAGCUUUUCCUUUUCUCGAGUAAAAUGGGUUUUUAAAGAAGAAAAAGUUAUGAACUGGAUUUCAAUGUCUUUUUUAUUUAUUUAGCUAAGGAAAAACAAAAAAAAUAAUAAUAAUAGCCAAUCGAUGUUGUUACAUUCAUUGUUCAUCAACCGGUGUUAUUACAUUCUUCUUCUUCUUUUUUUCCUUUACUUCUACUGUUUUAUUUCCUCGUAUUCCAGUUUUUCUUUUUUUUUAUUGCAUUAUUUAAACUCUAUCAUUUCAUUAUAUUUUCUCCAAAAAAUCACUACAUAAGCACAAUAGGUUCUUUAUAUAUAUAUAUGGGCCAUGGCUACUAUUCUAUUAUGAGUAUUGGAGCCCUCGUACUCAUAAGUUAUUUUUAAUGAUAGAGUUUCCGAAUCGACGAUCCAUUUCGUUAAAUAUGAUCUAGAGUAUUUGAAACUUCUAGAAAAUAAAUUUUGUAAAUUUUCAAAAUCAUAAUAAAGUCCAUCAAGUGGGCAUAAAAUGAACGGUUAAAAUCGAACGACGUCCUAAAAAAGGAUGAUCGGAUCCUUCAAUUCAAGAUCGGAGUUAUUGAUCUUUAUUUAUGUAGUGAAUAGAAUUUUCUAUCAAAAAUUCAACAAAUUUCGAUUCUUUUACACUGUUAAACUAGCAAGUAUCCCAUACCGGCCGUUAAAAAUUGUCAAAUUUGUGACAUCUUUAUCGUAAGGUAAAUGAUGUCGAAAAUUUAUAAAAUUUAAUUUCUAGAAGUUUUAAAUGCUGUAAAUAACGUUUAACAGUGUGGAUCGUCGAUUCGGAAGCUCUAUCAUUGAAAACAACUUAUGAGUACGAGGCGAUCGUACUCAUAAUAGUAUAGUAGCCAGACCAUAUAUAUAUAUGUAUAUAUAAUAUAUAUAUAUAUGUAUAUAUAUAUAUAUAUAUAUAUAUGUAUAUAUAUGUAUAUAUAUAUAUAUAUGUAUAUAUAUAUAUAUAUAUAUAUAUGUAUUAUAUAUAUAUAUAUAUAUAUAUAUGUAUAGUUAAAUGCCAUAAUAGGUCUCUGCAAAUAUAAUGAAUUGCAAAUAUAUUCCUACAAAAUUCAACUUUCAUAUAUUGUUUCUACAAAAGUUCUAAUAUUUUCAAAUAUGUAUCUCUAGUUUGUUACCGUUAGAGAACACUUCGAGAACUAUUUAUGUUUUCAAUUUUACCAUCACAAAUGUGCCCAUUCAAAAGCCACAACAGUAUAAUAGAAGAGGGACAAAAAUAUCAAGUUAUCUUAUAAACUAACCAGGAUUAAGUAUUUAAUAUAUGAUUAGCUAAAUUUUUCUAACGUAUUCUAACGACAGAAACAUAUUUAAAAAUAUUAAAACUUUUAUAAAGACAAUAUAUGAAAAUUGAACUUUAUAGUAAUAUACUUGUAAUUUACUAUAUUUACAAGAAGCUGUAUGAAUUUAACCGCAUAUAUAAUGUGUUGAGUACUUAAAUAAUGAGUACGAUUCUAUGUAAAGAGAUAUUUGUGAUAUUAACCACAUUCCAUACUCUCCAAGAUAGAAUUACAAGAUAGUCCUUAAUGUUUUUUUUUUUUUUUUUUUGGCGCUUUUGUUUUAUAUAAUAUAGGAGUUGGACUACUGUCAAUCCCCUAUGCANUCCUUUUUUUUUUUUUUUUUUUUUUUUUGGCGCUUUUGUUUUAUAUAAUAUAGGAGUUGGACUACUGUCAAUCCCCUAUGCACUUUCACAAGGAGGUUGGUUAAGCCUGCUGCUACUCUUCAUUGUAGCCAUGAUCUGUUGCUACACCGGCCUGCUCCUUCAACGGUGCAUGAAAGCCGACCCGAGAAUCCGAACCUAUCCGGACAUCGGCGAGUUCGCAUUUGGCUACUUGGGAAGGAUAUUCGUGUCGGUCUUCAUGUACUUGGAGCUGUACCUCGUCGCGAUCGGGUUCUUGAUACUAGAGGGUGACAACUUGGAUAAGUUGUUCCCCGACACUAAGCUUAUCGUCGGAACUGUCAGCAUCGCGAGUAAGCAGUUGUUUGUCAUGCUAGUUGCGCUUAUAAUCUUGCCGACUACUUGGCUGCGGAGUCUCAGCGUGCUUGCUUAUGUCUCGGCCGGAGGGGUUCUUGCCUCAGUUAUUGUUGUGUUCUCCGUGCUGUGGGCUGCGACGGUUGAUGGGGUUGGAUUCGGUGAAAGAGGGAGGUUCUUGAACUUGAGCAGUCUGCCGACCGCUCUAGGGCUUUACACAUUCUGUUACGGCGGCCAUGCCGUGUUUCCGACGCUAUGCACUUCGAUGAAGGAUAAGAGUAAGUUCUCAAAGGUGAGUAGCACAAGGAGCUAGCAUUCCAUUCAGGGUGCGUUUGGUCCACGUUUUUUUUUUAAAAAUUUCUAGUAAUUCAAUAAAAAUAAAAAAAUAUGACGGUGUUUGAUUAAACGUACUAAAUAAUCUAAUUGGUAAUAUUAGAUUUACUUGGGAAUGAGAUUUAUCCUAAAAUACUAAUCUCAUUUUCUUGAGGGAGGAUAAAUAUCCUCAUAUUAAUGGAUUGGGAUAAUCAUAAUAUAUCUAAUAUCUUUCUUUCUCCCUACCUGUCGGCUAGUUGGUAUUAUUUUUCUUUACACUCUAAUCUCAUAUUUCCCUCUAAACUUAUCUUUUUCUCUCUAAACUUCAACUCUUUUUCUCUCUCUAAACUAAUUUCUCUUUCCCCCUCUUUUCUAAAUUCUCAACUCUCCCACUCCCUCUAACUUCUCUCUCUAAUCUAUGUUAUCUCUUACUUUUUUUCUAAAAAGAUGUUGAAAUUUGUGGUAGUAUUAUCUAAAAUUAAUUUAAAAAAAUAAAUUAAUUGUAUAUUUUUUGUAAUCUUAAAUAAUAUGACUAAAUAAUAUGACUGUGCGAACCAAACACAGGAAUGCCACAUUCUUAGUAAUAAGAUGAAUAUGAAUAAAAUUCUCGAAUAUUUUUUUUAUUUCUAGUAAUCUUUUAUAGUGCGAACCAAACGCGCCCUAAGUGCUAUACAAUUUUAAGUAGCAAGGGUACAGUAGGUGAUCUCACAGCAGUUCAGAACAGAACCCUUAAAUUACCACUGAAACUUCUCAACAAGAAAAAAAAAGAAAAAGAAGAUGAUAUGGUAUUACUUAACCUAGUGGCGAAUUUUGUAACCAAUUAUUGAACUUUUUGGUCAUCUCAUGACCAGAGAAAGAUGAUUUCAGAAGUUAAAUGCUCUGUUUGUUAUAUGUCUCCAUGCCCAUUGAAUUGAUUCUUGUUUGAAUUUUGUGUCAUUAGUCUUGCUUAGUUGAUUCUCCUUUUUCUCAUUGUAGGUGUUACUGCUAUGCUUUAUUACAUGCACUCUUAACUACGGAUCGAUGGCAAUUUUGGGCUACCUCAUGUACGGCGACAGUGUAAACUCUCAAGUGACUUUGAAUCUCCCUACAGGAAAGCUUAGCUCGAAGGUAGCAAUAUACACCACACUAAUCAAUCCGUUCUCCAAGUAUGCCUUGAUGAUUGCCCCGGUCGCAACUGCAAUCGAAGAAAGAUUGAUCACGGUCAACAAGAGAUCUCCUACGCUGUUGAUUCGAAGCCUCGUGGUUCUUAGCACCGUGGUUAUAGCCUUAACCAUCCCGUUCUUCGGCUCGCUUAUGGCGCUCAUUGGCUCAUUACUAAGCAUCAUAGUGUCUAUGAUGCUGCCCUGUAUAUGCUACAUCAAGAUAUUUGGCGCGUCACAAGUUCGGAAGGUCGAGCUAGUACUCAUCUCGGGGAUUUUGUUGACGGGUACUUUGGUUGCUAUAACCGGUACUUACGCUUCGCUGAAGGAGAUUAUUCUUCAACUCUGAAUAUUUCUGCAGGAAAUUGUCGAGGCUUCGAAUUGUAUUUCUCAUGUCCUCUGUCAAAGCUGUAUUAUGUAUUUUUUGCUUUUUAAUAAAUGAGAAAAUCAAUCGAAACAAAUUACAUCGAGCAGAUUGCAGGAAUCAAAAUCGUACGUUCGUUUCGAUUGGAAAAAUUAUAUCAACAGUGUCCGUUCUUUUCAUGUUCAAGUUCAAUCCAUUCAGUGCCUCCGCGAUACUGUCAAAACCAAUACAAGAAUCAUCAUCCCCGGAAAUAAACCGAUAAAUCCUCCCUCCCACUUCGACGCAACUCUCCCCCGCUACCUUCUUCAACCCCUCCAUUCUCAUCACUCGCCUCAUCUUCGCAGCCUCCUCCCAUGAGCCGACCUCUGAAUACAUAUUUGCGACCAUCACGUAGUUCCCGCUCCGUCUGGGCUCCAAUGCUAGCAGCUUUCUUUGCACCUCUUCCCCGAUUCCGUGACUAUCUUUGGAACUAUGUAACUGGCAAGCGCUUAGCAGAGUUCUCCAUACAACCGCGUCAGGCUCAACGGGCAUGCUUUUAGUAAAGUUGUAAGCUUCAAGAAGGCGACCGUUGCGACCUAGUACAUCGACCAUGGCGCUGUAGUGUGUCAUCAUCGGCUUGAUACCGUAUACAUGCUCCAUUUCAUGGAAGAGUCGAUACGCCUCAUCCGCCAAGCCCGCAUGCGAGCAAGCACAAAUAACGCCCAGGAAGGUCACGUAAUUGGGUUCGACGGAAGUGUUCUUCAUCUGCGAGAAAAGCGUAAGAGCUUCUUCCGGGGCGCCGUGCUGAGCGAACCCGAGAAUCAUGGCGCUCCACGUCCACACGUUCCUCACUGACAUCUUCUCGAAUAAGCGGCGGGCGUAUGUUAUCGCCCCGCAUUUGGCGUACAUGUUGACAAGGGCGGUGCCUAACUGAAGAGUGAACUCUCUCUCAAUUUGUAAUAUCUGGCCGUGAAUCCACUUUCCGAAAGUCAAGCACCCGAGCUCGGCGCAGGCCGAGAGCAGGACGAGGAACGUGGGCUGAUCCAGCUCGAACCCGGAGUCCACCAUCCGGAAAAACAAUCUGAUGCACUCCUCGGGCGUCGAAUUAUCGACGCAGGCGGAUAACAUGGUGUUCCACGAGACCACGGUUCUGAGGGGCAUAUCGUCGAACACCUUACGAGCGUCACCCAAACGGGCACACGACCCGUAGAGCAGCAUGAGGGUGUUCUGCACGUAGACGACGAAAUCGACCCCGUUCUUCACGGCGUCGGCGUGGGCCUGGGCGCCGGAUCGGAGGUCGCGGAGUUGGGCGCAGGAUUUGAGGACGAAGGGGAGGUUGAGCUCGUUGGGGCGGAGGCCGCGGCGGCGCAUGAGGAGGAAGAGGCCGAGCGCGCGGGAGGGUGAGUCCGCUUGGGCGCGGGCGCGGAUGAGGAGGUUCCAAGCGGAGCGCGAGGGGAGGAGGAGGGGGGAGUGGAGGAGGAGGGUUUGGGCGUGGGCGUGGGCGUGGGCGUGGGCGUGGGAGAGCGCGAGGACGCGGAGGAGCUCGGCGGCGAGGAAGGUGCGGCGGCGGAGGACGCCGGAGGUGAGGAGGUGGGCGUGGAGUUGGAGGAGGUGGGAGUGGGAGCUGCAAGAAGAGAGGAGGGAAUGGUAGCAGUGGUGAGUGCCGUGGGUUGCACUCGCGCUCAUGGGCCGAGCCAUGUAAAUCAACAAAGAAAGUAAAUUUACACCUAUUCAUUCUAAAAUUUAGAAUUAAUUUUUAAUAUUUGAAAAAUAAUUUUUAUAAAAUAAAAGUCUCCUUCUUGAAGUAUACCAUCUAAGUUAUUUUUUUUAUUCCGUACAGAGAUAUCAUGUACCGAACAUUUAUUUAUUUUCAAUUUUCAAUCUCAUAAUUCAAUACUAGUAUUUAUUUUUUAGAGACCAGAUAAUUAGAUUAAAGAGUUUUAGAUGGAUAAAAUAUGGGAUAACUUCAAAAAACCCACCCUGUGGUUUCCAACUUUCUCACUUUAGUACCAUGUGGUUUAAAGUGUAUCAAUUUACCCCCCUGUAGUUUUGUUUUUAUUUUUUCUAUAGUUUUUUUCUUAAUAUUUCGUUAAAUUAUAUGCAAAAAAACAUCAGAUAUCCAUCUAGAUUUAUCGAAUAUUUAUUUUAGGACCCUUUAAUUUUAAUUUUGUUACUGAUUUGAGAAAAAAAAAAUAAUAAAAUUGAUAAAAAAAAAAGAGAAAAAUGAAACCACAGAUUGAUACACUUUAAACCAUAUGGUACUAAAGUGAGAAAGUUGAAAACCACAUGGGGGUUUUUGAAGUUAUUCCAUAAAAUAUCUAUAAAUUUUUAUGCAAAUUAAUCAUAAAUAUUAGAAAAUAGGGAAAAUCAAUAUUAUUCAAAUAUAAUUUGAGUUAUGUAUCUACCAUUUCAACACAAUUUCACCUAAAUUUUUUCAUUGAAGCCAGAUUAAAAAAGGUAAUUAGCAAAAUAAUUAAUUACAAACGUAUAAAUUCCGUAUUCGUUCGCGCCACGUAAAUUUAGCAUCCGUGGCCCCUCGCCACGCCAUGGCACUACCUCGUCUUCUUCGCCCAAAUCCCUCCCUCUCCACUCUCCGCCAUUACCAACCCCCCCAUCCUCGCCUCCUCCUACACUCCUCCAUCAUUCCUCUCAUAUCCUCCUCCUCUUCCUCCUCCAAGACCCACCUCCUCCAAAUCCACGCCCACCUCCUCCGCACCUCCCUCCUCUUCCACGACAUUUCCAUCUCCUCCGCCUUCUUAUCCCGCGCCGCCGCGCACUCCGCCUCCUACUCCCUCCGCCUCUUCGACCAAAUCCCUCGCCCCACCAUUUUCCACUGCAACGCCAUGUUACGAGCCCUCUCCGAGAGCGCCUCCCCGGAGCAAACCCUCGUCUUCUUCAAGCGCAUGCAGGACCUCGGCGUCCGCGGUAACCCCUUCUCCUCCUCCUUCGUUCUCAAGGCUUGCGUGAGAACCUCUUCGUUCUCUCUUGGGAAACAGGUCCACGGUAGGAUUUUGCGACGUGGGCACCACUCCGAUUCCCUCCUCCUUACCAAUCUAAUAGGUAUUUACGACUCGUGCGGGAGCGCAAGCGACGCGCGCAAGGUGUUCGACGAAAUGGCCGAGAAGGACACCGUCGCGUGGAACGUUUUGAUCUCUUGCUACGCGCGAAACCGACGAACUAAAGAUGCUUUGCAUCUGUUUGACGAAAUGCGGGACCCGAAAUAUGGGGCCGAACCGGAUGAUGUCACCUGCCUGCUCCUGCUUCAAGCAUGCGCGAACUUGGGAGCGCUUGAUUUCGGCGAGCGGAUACGUGAGUUUGCCGAGGAACAUGGUUAUAUCGAUGCAUUGAAUGUGAGGAAUUCGCUUAUCGCCAUGUACUCAAAAUGCGGGUGUGCCAAUAAGGCGUACCGAGUGUUCUGUGACAUGCCUCAAAAGAACGUUGUUAGCUGGAGUGCGAUGAUUUCUGGUUUGGCAGUGAAUGGGUUCGGAAGAGACGCCAUCGAAGCAUUUCGAGAGAUGCUAAAUGUGGGCGUCGCUCCUGAUGAGCAGACGUUUACAGGGGUCCUCUCGGCUUGCAGUCAUAGUGGGCUGGUCGAAGAAGGACUGAGAUUCUUUGACAUGAUGAAAUUUGAGUAUGGUCUGGUCCCGAAUGUAUGUCACUACGGGUGCAUCGUCGAUCUAAUGGGCCGAGCUGGGUUGCUCGAUCGUGCUUAUGGUCUUAUAGUAAGAGAGAUGGGUGUCACGCCAGAUGCCACAAUUUGGAGAACUCUGCUUGGAGCUUGUAGGAUUCAUGGUCAUGUCGACCUUGGAGAGCGUGUAAUCUCUCACCUAAUUGAAUUAAAGGCACAACAAGCUGGGGAUUACGUUCUGUUAUUGAAUAUCUAUGCAUCCGCAGGAAAAUGGGAGAAGGUUGCAGAAGUUCGGAGGUUAAUGAAGGACAAAGGAAUUCAAACUACUCCUGGCUGUAGCUCGAUAGAAGUGAGCGGUGAGGUCCAUGAAUUUGUUGCGGACGAUGAUUUGCACCCGCGAAAAGCCGAGAUUUACGAGAAGCUUGAGGAGAUAUGUAAGCAGCUAAAGAUUGCGGGAUACGUAGCAGAUGUGGCUUCCGAGUUGCACGAUUUGGAUAUGGAGGGGAAGGAGAGUGCUUUGUCUUAUCAUAGUGAGAAGUUGGCCAUUGCUUUUGGUGUUCUCGUGACCCCACCGGGCAGAACAUUGAGAAUCGCGAAGAACCUUCGUAUUUGUGCUGACUGCCACAAUUUCAUGAAGGUGUUUUCUGGCGUUUAUAAUCGGCCGGUGAUUGUUAGGGAUAGGAGCCGGUUCCAUCAUUUCAAAGAGGGUCAUUGUUCUUGUAACGACUAUUGGUAGGCUAUUCCCAGCGUGGCUUGUCUAAGCCUCUGCUAACGGCGCAUCCUAUCUCAUGAAUAGCUUUAAGGACUUACUGGGGCAAAGAUGGAAAGAUUGAUAAGUUCUAGGCAGCUUUGUGAGGAUUCAUAGCAUAAUAAUGCUCUAAGAUUGCGAGUAUAUUGUUAAAGAUGUUAUUCAAAUGGAAGUUAUGUAGAAAACGGACUGUGUUUAUGGAUUUCGAUUAAUUUUGUGAUCCUUUUGAAGGGCUGAUAAGGAAAUGGAAGAUGAUAUUCAAAGGAAAGCAGAAAUCGGACUGUUUCGGGCACGUUCAAUCUGCAAGAAAUCAUUUGUUGAGGGGAUUUUGGAACAUCUUAUGUUUUGUGCUCAUUGCUGGUACCUGUUAGAGGCAACAUUCAUAACAAACAUAUUUGUUGCUAAAUGCCUUUCUCAGGGACUAUCAGUCAUUCGGAAGUGGCACUCUCUUCUCAAUAUUUCUCUACAUGAAAACAGCAUUAUUACGCCAUCUAGUUGAUCACACAGAAUAAUUUUUUGCUUUCUGAUUAAAAUUUGUUCUACUAUAAAUUGUUCCUUCAUUGCUUUGGUUUAUGUUUCUUAGAUCUCUCUGACAAAUCAUGUGACAUUUAAUUGUAUGCAGGUUGAAAAUCAACAAACUUGGUUGCUCUGAAUCCACCCUGGAGCUGCUGCUGCAAAUUCGCGUUAUCACAUCUGCGAUAUUGCAGAGUAAACCAUAAACAAUUAAUAGGAGAUGCAGAGUUGCUUUUUUUUCCCUUUUUUUUUUUGAAGUUUAAAAAGUUCUGAUUUUUCAGGGUUAUACUAGCUGGCAAAUGUUUGGAGUGGUCUGGUCUUGCACCUUGAAAAAACACCAUUGGAUGAAUCUGGUUCACCACGUCAGCUAUGGGGAGCCACGUCAUAUUAAAUAUAUAUAUUUUUUAACUUUUAAUAAGAUUGCAACUCAUUGGAUAAUUAGGAUUUACUAUAAUAAUUUCAAGUUUUUUAGUUAGUCAAAAGAUUACAGAUGGUAAAUAUUUUUCUAAUGAAUCAACCGUCUCUAGCGCAAAUGGCAAAGGAUUUGAUAAUUGGUAUCUGAGAUGUAAGUUCGAAUUAUAGUUGAUUCAUAUUUCUAGUUAAGUUUAUUUGUAAAUAAAAUAAAUGAAGUGGAUAGUAUACUAUCUAUCUCUCAAAAAAAAAAAAAAAAAAAUCAUAAGUCAUUUGGUAAGCUCUUAUGGGCUCAUGGAUUAAUGAACAUGCCAGAACCCACAUGGAAAUUGUCUAUUUUUUAACUUCAUAAAUACACAUUGAAUAACUUGAUAUGAUAAUAUUAAUAAAUGGCAUUGCCUAACCUCAUCCUCGAAUUCAACUUUCUUCUAAGUUAUUGGAGUGAAAAAAAAUAAAAAACUUCACUGAUGAUAUCUUUCCGGAUGCAAGACAGCGUGGAAGAGCUGGUACAAGACUAUAUAAAAUAAUUUUCUCUCGAUAAAAAUAAAUUAUUUUUUCUUAGAGAGAAAUGAUUCGGUACUUUUUUUAAAAAAAAAUAAAAAAUAUCUUAACCGUUGAUUAAUAGAAGGUAAAAAUGUAACUUUAAUACUUAGCAGGUAAAAGGAUUAUUUUAUUCAAGAUUAGUUUGGUAAUUAAAUAAUAUAAUAUUUAAAGAAAUUUUUAAUUGAGGUCCUAAAUUUAUGCAUUAAUUAGCACUAACUUAUAAAGUUAAUUGAUUAAUCAAAUUUAUGCAAUUAUUAGGUAUUAAAUUAGGAAUUUACUUUAAAUGUUUUAGUGUUUCUCAAAUUAUGCAUUAAUUUAAAUUAUAGAAAUUUUAGAAAUAGUUUUAUUUCUAAAUACGAUGAAUUUAAAUUUUAAAAAUUAAAUACUUAAAAUUUAAAAAUAAAAUUUAAAUUAGAGGAAUUUCAUAUUAUUAUUUAAAAACUAAAUUUCUACAAAGAUUUAAAAUACAAUUUAUUCGCACAAGUUUAAAACGUAAUGCAUUAAAAACUUAGAAAGUAAGAUUUCUACAACUAAAUUUCUCUAGAGGAAUUUCAUAUUACUAUUUAAAUUUUAAAUUCAAUGAUUUAAAAACUAUAUUGAACCGAUUGAUUUGACUGAUCAGACUUUGACCUAUUCUAUCAAGAAUCUGAUUUUAACCUAUUGAACCGAAUAACAUUAAGAACAAUUUGGAACCGGUAAAAAUAAUAAAUAUUUUAAACAAAAUGAUAAUUUAACUAUUAGAGCUAAUAAAUAUUUUAAAUAUAAUUUUAAACAUAUAAAUUUAAAAGAUUAGAAUUAUUGGUGAGAAAAAAAAUAGUUAGGAAUUUGAAUUCAAAUUUAACUAACAAUCACAAAACUUAUUUCCGAACUCGAAGGAUUUCAAAAAUCCAUAUCCAAAUUCAAAACUUACCAAUUUUUCGAAAUCCAAAACCAUACCUAAAUCAAAAGACUAGAAUUCAAACAAUUAUUUCUGUUUACCAUAUUUCAAAGUAUUUAUAUGAAACUUAAAUUUUUAAAAUAUAAAUUUGAAUAUAAUAUUAAAUUUUAAAUUUAAAAGUGAAAUUUAAAUUUGAGAAAUUUCAUAUUACUAUUUAAAGUUUAAAUUCAAUGAUCAUAUUAUCAAAUCAUUUGAAAUUUUUCUUAUAUGAAAUGCCAAAUUAUGAAAGAAAAGAUAGAGAGAGAAAAAGAAAACAAAGAAAAAAUAAAAAUUUUGAAAAUAUAGUAGAUGUAAAGUGACUAAAUUAUCUAUGUAGACAAAAAUAUCCCUUUUUGAGGUAUCUGGUAACCGGUAUCUCUCCCAAAGUGAUCUGCUAUUGCAGGUUAUAAUUUUAAAAAAACUAAAUCUGAAUCGUUGAAUACGUGUGAAUGAACGGUAACCAAAAAAAAAAAAAAGUACAGAAGCAUUACUCUUCUCUCUAAUAUAUGUUUUUUUUUUUUCCUUCUCUCCUCACAUUUUUUUUGUCUUAUUUUCUCUACAUUCAAACAAAAAGCUCCACUAUUAUUAUUAUUAUUAUUAUUAUUAUUAUUAUUAUUAUUAUUAUUAUAUACAAUUUUUUAAAAUCUAAAAUAUUAAAUCAAGUUAUCGUGUUUAAAAACACAUUCCCAACGACCGAAUACUUCUUCGGUGCCGUAUGCUCGUAAGAAUCGCAAAAGUCAAGACAACAACCAUUGGUUGGAUAUAUAAACACCCACAAAUAAAUAAUAAACACAAAUAUAUACACCAAUCAAUGAGCAAACAUGUAACAUUUACUACCAGUUUAAUAUGCAUUCGAAAAUUGCACAUAUAUAGAAUUAAAAAAUAAAGGGCAAUUAUAUUCAUGCACCGUAAUUAGUGACCAUUACCUACAUUUUCCUACUAUUUAUUGCCAUAUCACCUUGCCUAAUUUUCCUGAUAUAACGUCAUCAUCUCUCCAACCACGCUUCCUAAUGGCCGGUGAUCGAUGCAUUAUGGAUUUGUUACUGAUCCUCUUACACACGAUUUUCGUAUUUUUUGCAUACAACGUGAACGCACACCUCUCAUCACGCGGCAACAAAUCACGUACACGGCACCUGUGAUUCUCUCUAUGUUCGACACAUGGCACAUUCCCAUUCCCCCUCCUUGUUUUUUCCUUUUUCUCCUCAUCCACUUAAAUUGAUUUCACACGUGGAAUAUGCCAAAUCAUAUUCCCAUCUCAAUCAUGUAACGUCGACCAUAAAUAAAUAAAACGACCCCCCACCUUCCCUUCUCCAAUUAUUGUUAUAUAUAUAUAGUAAGCGUCACGACUCGAUAAGUCCAAUUCAAAGAGGUUAAGAAAAAAGAGCUUCUGCGUUUCGAAAAAGCACUAAACAACUAUGAGGAGCCCAUCCCUUCUCUCUUUGGCCCUACUGCUUCUCGCAGCAGUUGUGUGUAAUGCACAAGAUUUCGACUUCUUCUACUUCGUUCUACAGGUACAUAUAUAGUUAAUUACUCUUAUUGUUGUUUUAGAUAUAUGCACAAGAUUUGAACGUGCACUAAUAAUGGUUGUGUUGUUGUUGUGUUGUAGUGGCCGGGGUCUUACUGCGAUACUAGGCAGAGUUGUUGUUAUCCGACCUCCGGCAAGCCGCCCGCGGACUUCGGCAUCCACGGGCUUUGGCCAAACUACAACGAUGGAUCGUACCCGUCCAACUGCGACCCCGAUAGCCCCUUCGAUGAAUCGAAGGUUAUUAUUAUUGUUUUGGAUUUGGUUUUUUUUCUUAAUUUGAUAUAUAUAUAUGAUUUUGAAAAGUUGCCGGUGUGUUGUAAUGUCGCUCUUCUUCUGAAAAAGAUAGUAAUAAGGAAAGAAGCUUAAAAUAGAAGAACCGCCUAAAAUAUCAGUGUUGUUUUUGAAAAAGAAGGAUCAGUAAAUUAUUAGCUCACAUCACCUAAAAUUUUAGGCAUAGGCCAAACAAUUUAGAUAGUUUCGAUGCGAAACAUUGUUAGGAUAAUUCUUGAGAGUAAUCCGAAACUACAUCGGCGCCUAAAACAUAUUCUUUUUAAUAAAUUAUUUGUAGAUAAGCGACCUGAUAGGGCGAAUGCGAACGAAUUGGCCGACCCUCGCAUGCCCGAGCAACGAUGGCGUGAAGUUUUGGGGGCAUGAGUGGGAGAAGCACGGCACCUGCGCCGAGUCCAUCCUCGACGAGCACAGCUACUUCCAAACUGCUCUUAACCUCAAGAACCAGUUGAACCUUCUCCAAACUUUACAAAAUGCAGGUAAAAUUAGUUUCACAUCGGUUUGUAUAUACGUAGUCUCCAACCGACUCAACGCUAUGUCUUAUCAUUGAAAAUCUCAGUAGUUUCUCUUCAAAUUCAUCGAAUUUUCGUACUUUUCUUAUGAUGAUGAUAGAUGUACUCAAAGUGUUUGAAUCUUGAACACCUGUUGUUAUAAUUGAAGGCCUACUAAGACCAAACUAAAACUAAGUUAAGAAUUUGGAGUAAUGCUUCCAUAAAACAGUUUCCAUCCGAUUGCAUUUCCUCAUUAAAAAAUGACCAUAUUCCAUUAUAAUGAUCUGACCCGCUAAUCUCUAUCUUGAAUCGUACAAACAACAAAGUCAAAAAAUUAAGAAAAAAUUUUACCACGUACGAAUGAAUAUUAACUAUAUUUUUAUGGGAAACAACGUACAACGCAGGGAUCGAGCCGGACGGUGGAUACUACAGUUUGAGCAGCAUCAAAGAGGCUAUAAAAGAAGGAACUGGUUACACCCCAUUCAUCGAAUGCAAUGUCGACGAGUCGCGGAACAGCCAAUUGUAUCAGGUUUACUUCUGUGUGGACACUUCAGGUUCCCAGCUCAUUGAGUGCCCAGUAUUUCCCAGAGGAAGAUGCGAUUCAAGGAUUGAGUUCCCUGCUUUUUAGUAGAUAAGGGUGUGUUGGGUUGUAGUUUUAAUUAAUCAGUUGCUUGUAUUUCAUAAUAAGAUAAUUGGAGCAUUUAUUCCUGUAAUGAAAGAGACAUAUAUGGCAUCACUUUCAUAUUCCCUCAAUUUUUUUUUUUAAAAAAAAAAACAUUGUUUUCAUAUGGUUUAUUUCCUGUAUGGUUAAUUACUUUCGCCAGUAGAUACUUUUUUCGUAUAUACGGUUUCAGAUUAGAGGAUUCUCAGUUCAGAAUUACACCCAGAUUUUAAUGAUCUUCUCUAAUUUUCUUGCUUCUAUUGUUAGGCUUGAAAAAAAAAAAAAAAAGUGAAAUGUAAAUAUUAAAUUAUUAUUGUUUUUAAUUACAGCAUAAGAGUUUUACACUCUAUAAUAUGGACUGAAAGAAAAGAAGAAAAAGGAAAGGAAAGUUAUAAGAGAAAAUAAUUUUUUGCUGUUUGGAUCGAAACUGCAGGAGAGAGAAGAAAAAAAAAGAAAAAAGAGAGAGACAGAGAGAUAGAGAAAAAAUGGCCUUUUGUAAUGGUUUUUCUCUCUCCAACAGUGAAGAUAAAAAGGAGAAAGAAUUACUCUCUUUCUUUUUUUCCCCACUUACUUGAAGUAGUAGAAGAGAAAAUUAGUUUAUUUUUCCUUUUCUUUUAUUUCCUUAUCUCUUCUAUUCAUAGAGAAAUUAAUUGCUUCACGCUUUUGUUUUAUAAUGUAUAAUAAUGUACAAGAUAUUCCUAUCAAUGUAUCAUAGACCACGUGGGAGGAUCAUUUUUUCUCUCUCUCUCUCUUUUUUUUCUUUUUUUUUUUACUGUGUUGUUUUGAGUUGUCAUAAGAUGUUAAAAUGGGUCUAUGUUAUAAUAUAUUACUGAUUUCAUCAAGUAUAAAAUUUUAAUUGGCAACACUGUUGUAUACACAUAAAAUUGUAGCAUCCGUAAAAUUUAAAAGAUUAUAGGGAGAUUCAAAUAGAUACAAAUGAAUAAUAUGGGAUCCAGAUCAUUUUUUACCUAAUAAAAAGAAAAUUAAUUUACGUACAUGUAAUGAUCAAAAGAUAUAGCGCGUUUUUCUUUUUCGAAAACAUUUAUCUUGGUGGUCCAACGGUCUUGAAAAAACAGUGCCUUAUUUUUAUCAUUUUUUACAUCUUUUUUCAACGAGCCAAAGACAUUUUAUAUCCCAAGAAAAAGAGACCUCUUAUUGACGAAAUAUGGCCCUCACAUUGGAUCAAAUUACGUACGAUUUGGUCGCGAAAAGGGCAUUAAUCCGAAAAAAAGCAACACAUAGCGUAGAAGAAACCGGAGUGUCCAAAAAAAAAAGAAGGCAAGGUGCGUUUCGCAAACAUAAUAAUAGGAGAAUUAUUAUCUUCUUUUUUUUUUUUUUUUUUUUGAGAGAGAUAGUUAGCACGCUACCCGCUUCGUUUAUUUCAUUUAGAAAUAAACUUAGCUGGAAAUGUAAAUCAACUAAAAUUCGAACUUGAGUUUCGGAUACCAACCACUAAGUCCUUUGCCACUUGCUUUAGGGACAAUCGGUAAUAAGAAUUAUGAUUGUUUAUCAUAAACAUAAAAUAAGAGCUAUGAUUUUUUUGAGAGAUAGGUAGCACGCUACCCGCUUCGUUUAUUUUAUUUAAAAAUAAACUUAGCUAGAAAUGUGAAUCAACUAGGAUUCGAACUUAUGUCUCGGGUACCAACUAUCAAGCCUUUUGCCACUUGCUCUAGGGACGGUCGGUGUUUAGCUAGAUUAUUAUUGAAAAAGAUUCGAUAGUUAAGUGAAUCUACCAUUUGGUUUGCGAGAGAGAUAAUUUAUUUGCUGCGCUUCAUAUCUUUUGUCUCUUCUUAAAGUUUUAGGCACUAUAAUAUUAGAAAAUUACAAAUCAUUUCUAGUACAAGUGACAACUUAAUUAAUUUAUAUUUUCAGUGACAUUUAUAAAAAAAAUCUGUACUCUAGCGUUUGAGAACUUCUAUCAAAUACAAACUCUUGUUCCAGCUUUUCCAGAUCUAAUCAGCAAUAAGAGUUUGAUCGAUAGGUGUCACUUCAUAUGCCAAGAAAGAGUUUGUUAACCAACCCAAAUGUCUCAUCCCAAGAGUGCACGAAAUAUGGGCAAUCACCUGCUAACUCUAGGAUGUUACACUUUCAAUCACCAACCCUUUUUAUUUAUUUUCCUCAUCCAAAACAUAAUAUAGGUAUGUAUUUAUGUUCAUCCCCAACCACAAAUAUUAAUUUGUCCCCCUAGAAUGUUCCUUGGGAACCCAUUUCCAUUUAUAUCUUUAUUUUCUUUCGCUUUCUGUACAAGUAGACGUCUACUAUAAAUAUGUCAUGAUUGAACUAAAAAAAUUAAACAAAUAAAGAUACAAAUGUACGCGCACGUAUCUACAUGGACCGGGAUAUACCCGAUUUUUGUUAAUAUAUGUUCUUAUGUAGUUAGGAGGAAACUUUACAAAAUAGUUUAUUAGUAUGUCUUUCAUUAGAACCAAACUAACUAUGUCUUUUUUUCUUUUUCUUUUUUUUGAUGAGUGAGUAGUGGUAAGUGAAAGUUCGUCGGACCCAACCCAAUCUUGGCCUGAUUUAGUUACCACGGAAUUGGCCCAUUUUUGCGUGGAUCAUAGAUUCAACAUAGAAGCGUAAGCGCGUAACACACACACACAAAUGGGUCGGAUCUAGAGAGGGUUUCGUAAUUGGUUUUAUUAGUUAUAUUAGGCCGCCUCGUUGACAUCCCAAAGUAUGUGAUUUGAAUCCCAAAAUAUUCCAAAUUACUUUUAUAAGCAACAUGACUCGGAAAAGAUAUACAAACAAUUCGUGAACUCUACCACUUUUGUAAGCAAACCUCCGAACUUUUAAUUCUGAUAAUUACACUCGUUAAACUCUUUCCUCUUUCUAAAAUAAAAUAUAAUACAACUUUUGGGUUAUUGGAUAUGAGGCUUGAGGACCAAUUAUCCCCAAGUAUCCAUUUUGAAAUCCUUAGAAGAGACCCAUUCGGCUAAUUAUGCGGAUGCUCGGAGCUUGUUACGCACAAAAUUGGUAGUUCGCUGUCGCAUGUCAAUUUUAUUUUUAUCCAAAAAAUUUAUAUUUUUUUAAAAAAUUAAAUAUAUUUAAUUUAAAUAUAAAAAAAAUAUUUAAUAAAUAUUUAGAUAAAAAUAAAAUUGACAUUUCCCACUAAAAUUUUAGCCGCACAUCAACCGUAGUGACCGCGUGACAGUGUAAUCGGAACGGCGCAUGAGACUCACCAGUGAAUUUCCUCAACAAGCUUUUGAUCUUUUUGAGGACUCGGGAGAUGUUUGACUGAAAUUAAGGCUCAGGCAAAAUGAUAUUCUGUUUUUUUUAUAAAUAUAUAUUGUUGAAUAUAAUUUUAUAUAUUAAAAAGUAUGUAGAUGAAUUUUAAAAUUAUUAUUUUUAAAAUAUGUUAUUAAUCACUUAUUCAGAUGCGUUCUAAGUUAACCAACAACAAUAAUAAUAAUUCUUCAACACAUCAAGUUAUAACCAACCGUCCCUAUAGCAAAUGGCAGAGGAUUUGGUGGUUGGUACCCGAGAUUCAAGUUCGAAUUCUAAAAAUAAACGAAGCGGGUAGCGCGCUAUCUAUCUCUUCUAAAAAAAAAAAAAAACACAUCAAGUUAUAUAAAAUUAGUGUUUAAAAACAUGAAAAUGAGCAAUGGAACUAAACAAGGUCUAAGUUUGUGACAAAAAACAUUAAUCUUAUUACUAGCUUAGCACAAUAUCUUUUUUUGGAUAAAUUUCAAAUACCACCCCCUGUGGUUUCAUAUCACUUUAGUACCAUAUAGUUUAAAGUGUAUCAAGUUAAUGUUAUGUGGUUUUAUUUUUAUAUUUUCGUCAGCUUCUCCGUUAAUAUUUCGUUAAAUUAUAUAUAAAAAACUUCAGAUAUCCAUUUAAAUUUAUCAAAUAUUUACUUUAAUAGCUUUUAGCUUUAAUUUUGUCAUUAAUUUAACAAAAAAAAUUAGUGAAAUCGAUAAUAAAAAGAUAAAAAAUGAAAUCACAUAGUACUAAAUUAAUACACUUUAAACCACUGAAUAUUAAAGUGAAAAAGUGUGAAACAAUAAUAAUGGUAUUUGAGGUUUUUCCUUUUCUUUUUCAUUUCUUUGUAGAUUUUAGGUCUUUUAACCAUUUACAACUAUUUCAAAGAAAAUUAUUUUUAAGAAUUUAAGCUUACGGUCACCAACCGAAUUUUCUCAAUAUCUUAUCGGCAUCCUUAUUAUAAAAAAUUAUUAUUAUGUAUAACAUAAUACACGAACCAAACACACUCUUUAUGCAUAUCGCCAUCUAAACUUUUAAAAUUCUAUACUUUUCAUCUAACUAACGAUAAAAGAAAAUAAUAAAGAACGCCAACAAUAUAAAAAAAGUAUAUUUUGUCCUCAAAAUUUAGUCUUAUAAUAUAUAAAUUAAUUUUAUAAAAUCUAAUUUUUAUAAUUAAAUAUUAUAAUUAAUUUUAUUUUAAAAAUAUUUUUUCUCCAUUAAAAAUCACUACCGUGCAAUAUAAUUAUAAUUAAGUGUUUAAACCAAAAGAAACGUAGGCGUUUAAACGGUUAAACCAAUAUUUUUUAAGAUAUAAUUUGGUGAUAAAAUUUUUAAGAAAAAUGUGGAUUUGGUGAACCUGAACUGAUCGGGACCAACCACCAAGUAGGUUGUUGCCUAGAAAAUCCCUCUCCAACCACAAAAGCAUUAAAAAUUUUAUUUUUCUAUAAUAUUAAUUUUACAAUCUAAUUAAUUAAAAUCAAUAUAAUAUAUUUUAUAUUAAAACAAUAUUUUAAAAUUAUUUGAUCUUGUUGUACUUCGUGCCACUUCGUGCCUACGAUGGUCAACGUUCUAUUAUCUCUAACGUUUUAUUAAAAUUAAAAUAAUAUUAUUAAUCGUAGCAUGAGAUGAGAUUGCUUUUUUUAAAAAAAAUUUAGUAUAAUAAUGUCUACAUAAUUUUAAAAUAACAAAGUAUUAAAAAUACCACCGCGUGUGUCGCGUAGCUCCAUCACGGUCAAACACAAUGUCAUUUUCAUCUAAUAAAUCAACCUAACAAACCGUAGAAAAAACAAAAAUCUCUUAUACACGGUACGAAGACUUAGGCUUAAGUCUUAAUUUGGUAUUGAAGCCUAUCUAACAUUAUUAGAUAAAAUAGAGUUGAGAAAAUAGUAUAGGACAUCAGAAAAUAUAUCGUAAUCGAUUCAUCGCCAUAUGCGGAACGUAAUAUUAUAUACGGAAACAAAUAAAAUAUUUUUCUAAUGUUCUUUUUCAUCGUACGUAACGCAAUCUCUCCGUAAUCCCAAACCAAACCUUAGUUUGGUAUUGACAUAAAUCUAACGCUAUUAGAUAAAAUAAAGAGAAAAAGUAUAUAGGGAUUUGCUUUUGUGUUCUCCGAUGGAACCGCAAAAAAUAUAUCGUAACUGACUAACCGUAAUAUGCGGAACGCAAUAUUAUGUACGAAAAUAAACAGUAUAUUUUUUCAUCGUCAUUUCUUACCGCACAUAACGCAAUCUUUCCACAAUUCCAAACGAAUCCUAAAUAUAUAAUAAUUAAUACUUACAUAAUCAAAAAUUUAUUUAUGUUUUAAAUUGAAAUUGUGAGAACAGUAUAUUAUUAACAGAAAAUAGUACGGUAAAAAACUAUUUUAUUUUUUAAAAAAAUACACCGACAAAUAUUUAAAUAUGUUUGUAUAUAUAUUUUUAAUUUUUUUCGCCUCUCACUUAAUAAGUAUAAAGAAAAAGAUUUUUUUUAAUUAUAUUAAAAUUUCUUUUCUACCGCUGAUUUUUUUGGGACGGUGUGACGGCGCGUCCUCCUUUUGCCACGUGUCAAAGGGAUAAAAAGGAUGCUGUGACAGGUGGACCAAAGUGGUCACCAAGUAAAAGGGGGGAAAAGUAUCUACUAUUCUCAAAUUAAUAACAUUAUUAUCAAAUUAAAAUAAAAAGUUAAAUAGAUUUUAAAAAAGAUUAAGUGGUUUCUCUGUAAAUUAAGAUCGUGCUUCGAUCGGAUUUUUAGUUUUACACUCGUUUAAUACUCAAUAGAAUAAAGUGAAGUUUCCCCUUGUGGUUUCACUUUUUCUCACUUUAGUACCAUAUGGUUUUAGGUGUAUCAAGUUAGUAUUCUGUGGUUUUACACUUUUUACUUUAGUACUCUGUGGUUUAAAGUGUAUCAAGUUAGUGCCCAAUGAUUUUGCACUUUCUCACUUUAGUACUCUGUGGUUUCGCACUUUCUCACUUUAGUACCCUGUGGUUUAAAAACUACAUGGUACUAAUUUGAUACAAAAAUAAAACCACAUGAUACUAACUUGAUACAAAAAUAAAAUCACAUAGUACUAACUUGAUACACUUUAAAUUAUAGGGUACUAAAGUGAGAAAGUACGAAACCACAUGGUACUAACUUGAUACGCUUUAAACCACAUGGUACUAGAAUAAAAAAGUACGAAAUCAUAGGGGGUUUUUGAAGUUUUUCCUAAAAUAAAAUUAUGGUUGUGAAUAAUAAUAUAGUUUAUCUUAUCUUUAUUUAUUUAUACAAAAUUCAAAGGAUAAUAACACAUAAAUAAAACAACUUGAAUAAUUAUGAUGCCCAAAUGUGCCUUCUUUUUGAUUCCCUCCCUUAAGAUGCCAAUAUUAUAUGCAUUGUGAUGCCAAAAAACGUACAUGAAUUAUACAAAGGUGAUAAGCACAAAUAAUUUGGUAAAAUAAUAAUAGAUGGGGAGUUCCUCAACUUUUAAUUAUUUAUUUCUCAUAUUAGCUAAACAUCUUUAUUCUCGAGCUUAUUCACACAUAUAUAUAUAUAUAUAUAUAUAUUCUGCUUUAUCUUCAAGCAAUAAAAAGUUAACUUGUAUUGAAAAAAGUUUUUUUUCCUUAUCUUGUUUGAAUAAUAAAAUUAAAUUGAGCCAGUUAUUGGAAAAGAGAAGACUUAACAUAGUAUUUUACCAAAAAAAAAAUCUUUUAUAAUUAAAGACUAAAGUAUAAUUAUAUAUAAAUAUAAUAAAAGUUUAAGGAUUGUUAGACUAAACGACAACAUUGAACAAGUGCACUAAUUUUAUAUAAUAAUAAAUAAAUGAUAAAUGCUAAAUCUGUAAUUUAAGAGGGGCCCUAACUCUACAACUACAUCAUAAAUAAAUACACUAAAGAUUAAUUUUUAAAAAAUCCUAGUGAAAUUAGUAAAUUCAAAAUUAAGAUGUGGUUUGUUGAAAACACCACAUCAGCAAUACGACUGUCCUAUUGCUGACUUUUUUCAUCUACAAGUCUCUAGGAUUUAUUCAACCUCUCUUAAAUUUUUAAUAAAAAUAAAAAAGAGUGAUUGAUGAGACAUAUGGAGUAAUUUUCAACAAAAAUUCUAUAGUCAACAAGAUAGUAAAAUUUUUUUUUUGAAAUAUAUAAAAAAAACUCUAUUUAAGAACAUAUUUUUAUAGUACAAUACUAAUAAAAUUAUAGAAUAAUUAAAUAUAAUUUUUUGAAUCAUAAAAUGGUGAAAUAAAUAGUGAACUGUAUUUGAGUGGAGAAGAAGAUGGAGGGUGGAGAUUAUAAGGGGCAAAUUAAAUUAAAGUCUGUUUGUUUAUGUAUUUAUUUAUUUGAAGAAAAAAUAUAUAUUUUUGAAAGGAGGGAGAGAGAAAAGUGAGAAAGAGGGUGCCGGGUCAAGUCUCUGGCGUAGACUCCAAGCUCCUCCUCCUUGUUCGUGUUCGAGCUCCUCUCCCCUCUCACCUGUCUCUUCCCUUCCCAAAAUAUAUAUCCAUCCAUAAACACCACGGACUCGAACCUUCUCCUUCUCUCUCUCUCUCCUCCGAAGUGCGCGCUUUCUCUCUCCUCGUUCUUCGAAACCCAAAGGUACCUCUCUCUCUCUCUCGCGCGCGCGCGCGCUCUACGAGGGUUUAGAUCGAAGCAAUGCUUCACAUCUCAAAUGGCGUUGACCACAUUCGGAUCUCACUGAAAGGUUUCGGUUGCACAAGCAGCCUCGUUCUCGGACUCACUUCGUCUCCAUCUCUGCGGCAUUUGAAGUCGAUGUCUUAGGCUCCAGCUUCGGAUUGAAGUAGAUUGUGUGAUUUGUUCUGCUUAUUUUGAUCCCCAAUCGCGUUUCCGAGUGUAUAUAUCUCUCCGUGUUUACUUUAUUGGAGUUGGUUUCGAUUAUUGAGGCGACUAUUGUGCUAUUUUUCACUUUUGGAAGGUGUUUCCUUAAUAUUUGGGUCUCAGGUGGCGCCAUUGCGUUUGAAUUAGUGGGUUUUAGUUUUGUUGAGUUGAUUUCGUUUUCGUCUUUGUUUACGAUCGGUUUAAUUUGUACAUCGUGCUGUGGUUUAACUGCUUUUAUCUUCUCACCUUCCUUGCUAAUUUACAUGACGUUGAUGAUCAUGCCGUUUCCCCCCCUUUUUUUUGGUGCGGUUUAGCGUUCAAAAUUGAGAUUUGUUGGUUAAUUCGUGUGUUCUCCCUCUUUGUAUUUCUCGAUAAUAUAAGUUUUUUUUUUUUAUUUGUAAUUUUGGUGGUUACAUCAUUUACUGGUUAGAUUCUUCAUUUAAUGCUUUUAUAAAUAAAUAAAUUAUAGGGGAAGAUAUUUUGGAUUGUCUUUGCUCCAGUCCCAAAUCUUUUAGAUUUCUCUCCUCGGAGUAAGGGAAUGAAUUCUUGUACCAAAAGACAAUAUGUUACCGUGUGAUAAUUUAAUUCUUGUUUGAAUAUGUUGCAUGCUGGACUCUCCAGAUAGUUUAAUUUGUUCUCAGAAUUAGAAAAUUAGGUUUAUUGAUUACAUCUUAGGGAAAGGGGGCGAAUGUGUGGUUUUGAUGUGCACUGAACUUCUUAUCCUUCCUUUACUAGCCGCAUAUAAUUCUCCUCUUCAAUUGACUGCGGUCUGGGGGUAAACACACUGAGGAAAAACAUACAUUAAAAAUGAAAUGAUUCUUGAUGAAUUAGUGGUGACUGUUUCUUCAUUUUUGGAACCACAAUUGCAGAAUACAUAUAUUAACGUCCUUAAAUUAUUGGCCGAAUUCUGAACAGUACUGUAGUUGAUGGUUUGCGUGCUUAUUUGCUUUCUGCAGGAUUCAUCUUACCAAGCGUAGAGCUCAAGACAGUUUCUGAGGAGUAACCUUUUAUGCUUCUCGGAGUUAAAUUCUUCGAUUAGGGUAUUCUCUCUCCUUGAUGUGUCCAGCCCUAAAAGGAACAUCUUUCAAUUGCAUGCUAUGAGAGUCAGUUUCACAUUUGGAUUGAACCGCUGGGAUUUAUCUACGAUACAAAAUCAUGCUCUAGAUCUAUGUACUUGCGUCUUGUUCAAACGCAUAUUGAAUACUAGUUAUUGGUUAUUCUGCAAGGUAUCUUGAAGAUGAUGAUGAAGAGAUGGUCUGGCGCUGUUGUUUUACUUUUUUUAUUCGUUUUUUUAAUUUUGAGGUAUGUGAUAAUGGAGAGCCCAUUAGCAGAAAAAUCUCUUCAAAAAAUACUCUACCGUAAUAUUUCGGAUCCUCUUCAUUGGUUGAAUGUCCCAAACCCGCCUGCAGUUCUUAAUCCAGAGAAUGCAUCACAAGUUGUCUCAACUAGCGUCUUAUUCUCCCAUAUUUUAGCUCCUGGAAAUCUUAGUAACGGAGAAUCAGAAAUGCUGCAAUCUUGGAAUCAUUUGAAGCAAUUGAUGAAUCGUACUGAGGGGUUACCUAAUGCAGUUGAUGCUAUCAAAGAAGCUGGGAUUGCAUGGGAAAGCCUCAUGGCCUCAGUUGAAGAUGCAAAAUUGGUCGGCUCUGGAAAUGGAAGUGUUUACCAGAAAGUGAAAGAGAAGCAGUGUCCAUAUUCAAUUUGGAGGAUGAAUGCUUCUGAAUUUGGUGGUGAUGUCAAAUUAAAGAUACCUUGCGGACUGGUUCCGGGUUCUUCAAUAACCGUCAUUGGCACUCCUGGUGGUAUUCUGGAUAACUUUCGGAUCGAGUUAACUGGAACUGCACUUCCAGGGGAACCCGAUCCUCCAAUAAUAUUGCAUUGCAAUGUUCGCCUUCUUGGUGAUAAACUCACGGAAGAUCCGGUGAUAGUCCAAAAUACAUGGACCGUAGCUGGCGACUGGGGUCCUGAGGAGCGUUGCCCUUCAAAAGGUUCUGAAAACAGUAAAAAAGGUAUUUAGAACUGAACUUAGAUUUCACUGACUUAAAUUUGCAAAACGGAUGAGGAGCAUCUUUCUUUCAACUUUUAUCUUGUUAUGGGGCCGGUUAGAACUAAAAUGGAUGAGGUUUGCUGAUUACGACUGUUUUCUGAUAAUUACCAGACAGUUGUCUGAUAAUAACCAGACAGUUUGUUUGGACGGAUCUGAUUAUAUGACAGGUGUCAUUAUUUUAUAAAAGUGCUUCAAUUAAAUGGAUUAUUAUUUCUGCUGUUAGAGAGUAUAACAAUGUUGGCUGUAGCAUGGAUGAAAAAUUGAAAAGAUUAGCAGAUAAAUUACUAAAAUGGCUAUUAGGAUAUAGUUGUCCUUUUGGAGGACUACAAUGUUAUCUAUUUAGACAAAGUCAAGGAUGUUGCAAUUUUGCUUCAAGUAAAUUAUAGAAUCCAUUUGUUGAAGGUUCAUAUUAAUUAGAACAAAAAGGGCACAACAGCAGUUUGCACAUAGUUUGUUGACAUUCUUUUACACUAUCCACAUUUACUAAAUUGGUCCAGCUUAUUGAAAACUGCCGCUAAACCUUGAUCACCAACAUGACUUGCCAUGCACUCAACCACUAAGGUGGCAGCAAAGGAACGAGGGCCAAAUUUGGGGCUCAAUAUCUGACUAGUUUUUUCAUUGGAAAACAUGUUGCCUAUGUGGUUCGUAUUGGAAGGUUUCUCUUAGCACGUAGCACCUAUGAGAAAAAGGAUUCAAGUUUGUUGCAUGAUUGCAUUGGUAAAUUUUUUGUUGCCAACUUGGUUCAUCAAAUAUCACAAGAUCUAUCUAUUAUUCUACCUUCUUGGAUUUUGCUUUGGUAUGAGUUGGGAUGUCGUGUAAUAAGUAGGAAGGGUAUACAAAGGACAAAACAGAAAGAUUUUUCUUCAUUGAUUUUUCUUCAUUUUUUUUUUGUCCUUUGAUGUUGAGGGGGGUUACCGGGUCGAAGGAAGAAAGUUAUAUACAUAUAUAGUCGCUUGUGGAUAGUGCAAGCUGGGAGACAAGAUGUAUGGGAGCCCAAGGAUAUUGCUACUCCUGUUUGCACUUACUGUGAGAUUUUUAUUGAAGAUCAGCUUUUCUUUUUUUUCCCCCUUGAAACGUCACAUCUUAGAGAUACCUGCAAAAUGGAAGCAUUGUCAAAUGGUGCAUGAUUUGUUACUUGUGGUCUAAUUUCUAUCUUGGAGGCAUUGUAUAUAAAAUAUUUCAAUGUUGUAGGACAAUAUCAGAGCUUCUUGUAUAACUGUUUUAAGUGUAAAUUAUUUGGAUUUUUCGUACAAGGAUAGUAUUGAUUUUUGUUCUUUUUGCCAUGCUCUUAGAUGCAACUAGUAUAUGGUUUUCUUUUUAAAUAAUGAAUACCAUGUGUUUCUUAUUUCUUAAAGAACCUUGACCGAGUUGUUACAUUGCUGAUAUUUCUGAUUUUCUAGGGACCUACUUUUUCCCUUUAAUACCUGUACUGACUCAUAUGCGCUUUCUCAUUAUUUACCCUCUUCCAGUUGACAAUUUGGAGCAAUGCAGUGAGAUGGUGGGUAAAGAUGAAAAGCGAAUAUUGGCAUCUGACAGGUAUUCUAAUGUUUCAAAACGAACUCCCACCAGGAAAGAGGGUGCUGAAGAUAGGAAAUAUUUUCCUUUUAAACAAGGAUAUCUUGCCAUUACCAUUUUUCGAGUUGGUGUUGAGGGUAUCCAAAUGACGGUAGACGGGAAGCAUAUUACUUCCUUUGCAUACCGAGAGGUACUCCGAAUGCCAAAAUAUUCAUUACUACCCUUUUAAUAUUGCAUAAUAAUGUAUAGUAUGAAUUAUGAAUUAUGAUAAUAAAUUUGUUAAGUGUUUUGUUUCACCAGAGUUUGGAGCCAUGGCUUGUUAGUGAAGCAAGAAUUUCAGGGGACAUUAAAUUAAUGUCGGUCAUAGCAAGUGGCUUGCCCACAUCAGAGGAUUUAGAGCACGUUGUUGAUCUUGAUAUACUGAAGUCACCACCAAUUCCUGUUGGUAAAGCUGUGGAUCUUUUCAUAGGCAUCUUUUCAACUGCAAAUAAUUUUAAACGAAGAAUGUCAAUUCGAAGAACAUGGAUGCAGUAUGAUGAAGUGCGCUCUGGAAAAGUUGUAGUGCGUUUUUUUGUUGGCCUGGUAAGAAUUGAAAAGUUUUGACUGCAACAUUAUCCUUGCUAUUUAAAAGCUUAUGAUGUGCAUUUUUUUUUUUUAUUUUGCCUUCACUUUAGUUGGCUGUAAUUCUUGUGAUUAUAUAAAUGUUCUGGCUUGAAAAGCGCCUUAGCGUGAAUUGAAUGAUCUUUCUGUGGCUUUUCAAAGCAUAAAAACCAGUUGGUGAAUGAGGAGCUCUGGAAUGAGGCACGCACCUAUGGAGACAUUCAGCUGAUGCCAUUUGUUGAUUACUAUAGCCUGAUUACCUGGAAGACCAUUGCCAUUUGCAUAUAUGGGGUAAAUAAAUCAACAAUUUUCAUUAGUACCGCACUUCUAUUACCAUUUAGAUGUUUUCUCUGCUUCUCUAACCUUUCCAUUUUCUGCAGACGAAUGUUGUAUCUGCCAAGUAUGUUAUGAAGACAGAUGAUGACGCUUUUGUCCGUGUUGACGAGAUUCUUUCAUCUUUAAAGCAAGUCAACGUCAGUCGUGCUCUCUUAUAUGGCCGCAUCAAUUCUGAUUCUGAACCGCACCGGAAUCCAGAAAGCAAAUGGUACAUUACCCCUGAGGUAAUCAAUAAAUUGACGUACUCAAGAUUUGACCAGUUUUUAAGUACAAGUACAUUAUGUUGAGUUGUUGCGCCAAAUUGUUACUCACACGAUACACUAUCGCUUCUGACAUAUUAUUAAGAAAAUGCGUAUUUCAUUAGAAGACUUGAUAGAGUUUGUUUGUUAAAUAUCAAGUUCGCAGCAAAUAUAUUGCGGUCAUUUAAGUUGUUUGUCGUCAGUGAGCUGAAGUCUUAUAAACUUUCUGUUCUCUUGUGAAGGAAUGGUCUGGUGAAAAGUAUCCUCCUUGGGCACAUGGUCCAGGUUAUGUGAUCUCACAGGACAUUGCAAAGGCUGUCCACAGGCAGCAUAAGAAAGGGCGGUUAAAGGUACUGCAAAUGUUGUGUCAGAUAUAAAUAGGAAAUGUUUCUGUUUACCUGUUUACCUUACCGUACUUCGUCAUUCUCUAAUAAUGUUUGACUUAUUUCCAUAAGCUGACAUAAGAUGCCGUCGUGCAGAUGUUCAAACUAGAAGAUGUUGCAAUGGGUAUAUGGAUCGAUAAGAUGAAGAGGAAAGGUUUGGAUGUUAAGUACGUAAAUGAGGGGAGGAUCUACACUGAAGGGUGUGAGGCCGGCUAUGUGGUGGCCCACUACCAGGAGCCCAGAGAGAUGUUGUGCCUCUGGGAAAAGCUUCAGGAGACUCAUCGAGCGAAAUGCUGUUGAAAUUGGUCGUAAUCCUAAAAUGAAAUGGUUAUAUGGCGGGGAAAAUGUCGUCGUCGCGAUGCUACUUCCUGAAGGCUAUAAAAGAGUUUUUCACUAACUCGGUGAGAUGGAAGCUCGCAUUGUAACUGUUGAACGAACCAGCCGCCUUUUGAAGGCACCCUCGGAGAUCGACCUUUGUUUUUUCCUUUAAAUUUUUGUUGCUUGAGCUUAGGUAGAUCUCGGGAGGAUAUGAGAAUUUCUCUGACAAAGUUUAAGAAGUGAGGUAUACGCAAUAUGGUGUUUUCUCUGAGAGGAUAUUGGUUUUUAGUGUAUUAAACCUCCCCUGUAUCAUAUAUUAUAGGAGGUACAGAUUAGGUUAGGAUAUUUUUGAUUUAGGGAGUACAAGUAUCCUCACAGAUGUAAAAGCUGCACUUUUUUAUUUUUCCCUUCUAUUUUUUUCCUGAAAUUAUUUACUUCAGCACUGCAACUUUUGGUCCCUUCAAUUUUACUUUUUCUAACGGACCAACUUAAUUUUUAUUUUUAUUUUUUCAUUUACGUUGUUCAAAUUAAUUAAUUAAUUUAACAAUUUUGUAAAUUUUUUUCCUAGUUUUAUUUGCUACAAAAAUAAUUAUAAUUAAAACUUUUAUUUAUUUGAAUGAACUUUGCUAAUUUUUAAAAAUUCAAAAUCCUAAAAAAAAAAAAAAAUCAGAUGGUCCAGGCAAGGUGGCCCAAUAAGACUUCAGAACGGACUCUGGCCUAGCAAAAAUGUCGGCCUAUCUAUUUUGGGGACCCAACUCGCAGCAUGCGCAUCAUUGGGCCCCACACAUUAGCCUUUUCGCGAGAAUCAACUUUCUCCUCUUGUUACAUACAUGUCCACAGAUAUUAGAAAAGAAAACCUCUUCUGAAAAAAAAUAAAAAAAUAAAAAAAAUAAAAAGGAGAAUAAAAAUAAAAACCAGUACGAAAAUUAUGCUUAAAAAAAAAAAAAUUCCAAUGUUUCUGCGGUUACAAUAAUGAAAUAACAAUGAUGCAAUGCAUUGAAAUGAUAGAUUAUUAUGCGGCCAUGCAGCCAAUGCCGAAGCGCGUAUUGGGGAAGACGAGGAAGAGGGCGCUGCAGACGACCCCGACCAUGAGGGGGAAGCUCUCCAUGACCUCGUCCAUCUCCGCCCUCUGCCCCGGGAACAAGCAGUUCGUCACCCGGUGGUCCGACAGCGCGAUCGCCGCGAACACCAUCACCGACAUCACCGCGUGCACCAGGUCCACGAACCCCAUCCGGAACCGCUCCUCCCUCGGCACCUCCACGCCCGCCCCGGCCUUGAACACCGCCAGCCCCCGCGGCGUCACGAUCCCGUAGUACACCUUCCCGUCCGCCGCGCGGAAGCUGUCCGUGAAGUGGAACAGGAAGCAGGACGCCGCGCACAGCCCCAGCAGCGCCUGGAUCAUCCCCGUGCUCACCGCGCUGCACGACCCGUCCCCCGACGCCGACGGCAGCAGCAUCUCGAACGUCAGCAGCGUCCCCGUCGGCAGGAAGUUCACCAGCAUCGACGUCUUCGACAGCGUGCUCUGCAGCCCCUUCGCCACCGCCCGCCGCUUGCGGCCCCCCGCCGCCGAAGGAUUCGGCGGCGAGGACCGAGGGGAGCAGGGGUGAGACGCCGCGCGCUCGCGGUCGCGGCGGGGGGAGGCGUCCAUGCUGAUGGAGAUGCCGCUGCUCUCAUCCAUUGUUUUGAUCCAGGUAGUUUGCGUGUUGCGUUCGCGGGGCUUUUUAAGUACCUGUAUUUUUGAAUUCGAAUACUUAUUCAGUUAUAGUUAAUAGGAGGGGCUGCUGAUGUUCAUUACUACGACUACUACUAGAUUAGGGCCCGUUUGGCCCAGUUGGCCAUUAGAAGGCCCAAGGCACACUGCGGCCUGUUUGGAUAUCUUGCAAUUUUAUUAUAUAUUAUGAAAUAAUUGUAUAUUAUUAUUGUAUAUGCUUAGUAAAUUUCAUUCUUCUGUCUUUUUAAACAAGACUCGACUCAAUUUGGCCUUCUAUCAUUAGAUAGAGUACUGUUUUCUGUAAGCUAACAAACAAGACGAGGCCUUUAAAUUGAACACAAAAUGCAGAGUUUUGUUGCCACUUCAUAAUUUACUACCACAUCUAGUGCGCAGCUGCAGGCGUCGGCUGUCUCCGGUCUCCAAUCACUCAAUAUUACAUUUCUCACGUUUCUAAUAGCAUUAGAAGACUACAUUAAUUAGUACCGCACUAAGUACUUCCAAUUGUUAUGAAACAAUUAAUUGCUGCACUUCUGAUAUUAAUUUUAGACAGAUCUACAAAACGAGCAGAUGGGUUUGAUCAUCAUCUGUUCCAAAUCUAUGAAUCAUGCCUCUAAUAUUAUACAAAAAGAAAAAAGAAGAGAGAUUAAUUUCAUACAGGUUCUUACAAAUAUAGUAAAUUAUAAAUAUAUUCCUACAAAAUUUAACUUUUACAUAUUAUCCCUACAGAAGUACCGAUGUUUUCAAAUAUAUCCCCUACUGUUAAGAUCCGUUAGAAAAAAUUAGUAAAUCAUAAAUAAAAUACUUAACCCUAAUUAGUUAAUAAGAUGAAUUGAUCUUUUUACCUUUCUUCAAUUAACAGCUGAAAUUUUUGGAGAGACAUAUUUGUGAUGAUAGAAAAGUCAUUUCACUUAUAAAAUAAACAAUGUUUUAACGGUAACAAAUCAAAGAGAUAUAUUUAAAUAUAUUAACACUUUUGCAGUGACAACAUAUGAAAAUUGAAUUUUGUGGAAAUAUAUUUACAAUUUAUUAUAUUUGCAGGGUCCUGCAUAAAAUUAACCAAAAAAAAAAAAAGACCCAAUUGACUAACUC
rnacentral:lncRNA from 1 species